rnacentral:lncRNA from 1 species
GUGAUGGUGAUGGUGAUGGUGAUGGUGAUGGUGAUGGUGAUGGUGAUGGUGAUGGUGAUGGUGAUGGUGAUGGUGAUGGUGAUGGUGAUGGUGAUGGUGAUGGUGAUGGUGAUGGUGAUGGUGAUGGAGAGGGUUGAGAAUGGACGGUCAGGAUUAGUGGGAGAAGGGUUGCUAAGAAGAAGAAGAGAAUUGGUUGAUGAAGAGAAGGUUUCUUCAUGAUUUCUUCUGUUAUAUGUGUGUUUCUUUUCUGUGACAUUGAAGUGUCUCUCUUUUGGGUUGUGGAUUUUGUGACCUCAAGUUGAUAUUUAUAGAGAGAAGGUAACACAAAUAGCUAUCCCUUUUGUGCCGUAAAGCGAAAUAACGAUUUGACGUUAAUACCUUAUGAAUUUUUUUGAUGGGUUUUGGAAAAAGUUGAUAUUUGUGGCUGUGUCCAUAUGCAUAAUGGGCCAGGCUGAAAUUGUGUGUAUUGCUUUUGUUUGUGAAAUAAAAAUGCAAGCUCUCUUAAAUGGGACGAAAGCUAAGAGUAGCAUCUAACUUUGUGUUAAACAAUUCCGGAGCAAAGAUAAUACAUACAAACGAGAAAACAACAAUGUGUGGAUACCAACUGUUCUAGCUAACGGAAAUUUAUUGGUAAUAUUCCGGAGAAUUCGAUCGAUAUUUUAUUUCUUAAAGUAAAGGUUCCAACUUAGAAUGUACUGAUGAUAGAUGCUACCUUUACAAGUUUUCAUUGGAUGCUUGAUAUCGCUUGAGAUAUCUAAGAACCAUUGAUCUUGCAUCCGAUGGGUACAUAGCCGAAUAAGAAUAUCUAACUGAUCUACUUCAGCUAUAACUAAUAAACUAAUAUGGAAUUAGUGGAAUAAAAAUAAAUGGAAUGAUACGAAUGAAAUACAGUAAAAAAAUAUAAUAAAAAAAUAGAAUGAAAUUCAUGAACCAAUUGGUUAUGUAGUAGUUAUCUUUGUAUUUUAUCUAAUCAUUUUUGUAAUCGGUGGAAUGAUCAUUCCAUUCUAUUCAUAGUAAAUGGUAAAAAAAUAUUCAUAGUAAAUGGUAAAAAAAUAUGUGAAAUGAAUAGAAUCAACCAUUCCACAUCAUUGCAUUCCAAAAAAUUGAAAUACAGUUACAUCCUUCAUGUCUACCAUGAUUGUGUCGUAUUGAUAUAUACUUAUAGGCUGUAACUGGUAAAAUAAUAAGGAAUUGGUGGAAUUAAAAUAAAUAGAAUUAUAAGAAUGAAAUACAUCAAAAAAUGGAAUGAAAUUCAUUAUACUCAUUCAUAACCAAAUUUUUUAUGGGAUCAUUCAUCUUUGCAUUUUACUUAUUUUAUUGUGGAAUUGAUGGAAUGAGUAUUCUAUUCCAUUUAUGUCAAAUGGUGAAUUUUUUUUUUGGAAUUAAUGAAAUAAGUCAUUCCAUUCCAAAAAUUAGGUCUGGGCAUUCGGGUCCUCGGAUCGGGUUCAGGUCAGAUUUUGUCGGGUCCGGGUCCUUUGGAUCUUAGAUAUUUAGAACCAAUAGGUGAUUAAAAUUUUUCGGUUCGGGUUUGGUUCAGGUCAUGUCAGGUCCGGGCCAGUUCUGGUCUUAGAUAGUUGGACCCAAUAGGAUAAUUAGAAGUUUUCGGUUCGGGUUCGGUUUGGGUCAAGUCUAAAAAACCAAAAACACAAAAAAAACCUGAAAAUAUUUAAAUACCCAAAAAAUAUCUGAAAUUUUACCCAAAAUCUGACCCGAAGACAUGAAAAAUACCCAAAAUUUUAUCUGAUUAUCUGAAUUAUAUUUUCUAAAAUCUAAAAGUUUACUUGAAACCUAGAACCAUGCCCGAAAACCCAAAUCCAAACCUUAAAAAAAUACCCAUACUCUAAAAAUAUACUGAAACGCUCAUAUAUACCUAAUAUAUACUAGAAGUUUUGGGUAUUCCAGGUACCCAUCAGGUUUUGGAUUCGGUUUGGAUCGGGUCCAAGACCCGCAGGUCCUCCACAACAAGACCCAAUAGGAUAAAAAUAUCAGUUCAGUUCCUAUCCGAACCGGGAUUUUUCGGGUCGGUUUUGGAUUGAAUCUUCGGAUCCGGAUAAAAUGUCCAGGCCUACUAAAAAUCAACAAUCCAGUUGCAGUCUUAGAUCUCAUGGUUUUCAAAAUCAGACUUUAUAGCUUUUUCAAGUAUCACUAAAAACUAACUCGGAAGAUCUAGCAAUAAAUUUCCCUAAUCUAAAUAUGCUGAUUCUCUAGCACCCAGUUGACUUUUCUCUCUCCUUAUGAAGCCACAUCAACAAAGUGCAUAGAGCAAAAGGGGACACCUGUCAUGUAUUAUUUUCGUUGAACAAACAUCAUUCUUUCUAUAUGGGCUCAUCAUUUCUGUAUUUUUAUUUGUGUGUUUCUUGGGUUUUUCCAUAAAAUAUCACAUGGCCCAUCUUUUAUUAGGGCUAUCCUUAUUCCGAUCACAGACAAUCUCCGCUUUUCCUCCUUCACUCUUCGUGUUCUUAACACUCCAGCCAUCUUCUGUAACUUCAGCCGUUUUGGUGUUACAUCCCUUUAAUCUCACAUUUAUUUUGAAUCCACUACUCAUCCCACUAUCUAUUAAUUAAACAUGUUAUUACCAGUAAAGGUAACCGUUUGAAGCUCAAUAGUAUAAAUGUGUUUCUUCUCUGCGAUGAAAAGCCACACUGCUAGGAAAUCUCAAACUCCAGACAUAGUAAAGCUUCGAUUCCAGAUUCAGGUUUUGUACUUACCCUAGCGUUUCCUCUCACUCACACAAAAAUUAAAAUAAAAACUCAUGGCGUCUCGGAAAGUUAUCAUCACUUCUCCGUUCAUCUUCCGCCAGAUCUGCCGCCAGAUUCGUAAGCCGAAACCCUGGGCUCCUGUCUCCUUCCCCAGCUCGAUGCGCUGCUUUUUUUGGGGACAUCCUCGGUCGCGUCGCAGGAAAUUCAACCUCUUCACCGGCUGCGCAAUCGUCUGCUCCAGCUAAAGAUGAGGCGAAGAAGACAUAUGAUUACGGUGGCAAAGGUGUGGUCGGAAAGGUUUGUCAGGUCAAUGGUGUCAUUUUUGAUGUGAGAUUCGAAGAUCAGGAGGGAUUACCUCCGAUCAUGACUUCUCUGGAGGUGCAGGAUCAUCCCACGAGAUUGUUGCCUGAGGUGUCACAUCACUCGGGUCAGAAUGUCUUCAGGACUAUUACCGGUAUUAGGAACUUGAGCAUCUGAAAAUGCAUUUAGAGUUCAUUGUGCAGCGUUGUUGUAGAUGAAUAUUAACAUUUGGAACUUAAUUUACACUAAAUUGUUCUCCACCACUUGCUGCUUUAUUAGCCAAUCGAGCUUUUAUGGCAGCAGCAGCCAUCUGUUCUAAAUAAUAUGUUGAUGGUACAAAAUAUUUCUUACUUUAUGUAUCAGUCACCAGAAGAGUCAAUUGGUUAAUCAGAUUUUUUUUAUGCACCUGUCGAUUAGAGUUCUUCAAGCUGCAUUGUAGGAAAGUAUUCAGCUAGAUAUAUUAAUUACUAGUGGUAUUCCGGCGCUACGCGCCGGAUUCACAUGUGUUAUUUUCACAUGAAUUUACAGUUUAUUUAUGGUCUUAGUAAAGAAAAUAUGCUCAAAAUAUGAAAAUAAAAAUAUGUUGAAAGAAAAUGAUAUUUUUUGAUUAAUUUGAUAUUGGUUAGCGACCGUAGUAUAUUAUUCUGUUUUGAAGUUGCUUAAUUCAAAGUAGAAUAUAAUAAGUGGUUGUGACUAAUUUUCUGGUGAGAGAACUCAUAGGAAAGAAGCAGAUCGUUAUUCAUUAUUUGGUUGUUUGUGUGAGUUCAAAGUUGUAAACAACGUAAGGUGUUAUACCUAUGUUUUAUAGAUGGUGAGUUUAAGUUAUAGAUUUUCUUGGCUUCUUGUAACAUUUUGUUUAAAAGACCAUUUAUUUCAGAAGUGUUUGAUUUAUUGAAUCAAUGGUUUGUGAUGAAUUGACUGUUUGCUUACGUUAGAUUUUUAAUUUUUAUCAAGAUUAUCUAUAAAUAUUUAUAUUUCGUAUGGAUUUGUAAGAGAGCAUCAUAAUUUUGAAUUAGUAUAUUAUAUAUUAUGUAUGAAUCAUUAUUCUUGUUUAUUUUUCAUGUCUUCUUUCUAUUGAAAUUGUUUGCUGGUAAAAUAUUUAACUUUAUUUUGUUGAGUCAAGUUAAAGUUCCUAAUGAGGUUGUUAAGAUGGCUUAAUAGAGCUAUGUUCUUUUUUGGAUGGAUUAGUCUUUAAUAUAUUUUCUGUUAAGUCAUCUACUUUUAUUUAUAUUUUAUGUGUUUCUUGUCAAAAAAAUUUAUAAUGCGGUUUUCCGUUUAGACUCUGCAUAUAUGUACUAUUUUAUAUAAAUAUUAAAUUUAUGCUUGAAAUUUUUUAAAAAAUCACAUUUAUUUUGUGUGUUAUAUUUUUGUUUUAUUUAUUAUAUCAUAUUUUAUUUUAUUUUCUCAACUUUGAAUUUUUUAAUUUUUUUGUUAUGAUUAUGUGUUAAUUUUGGGUUCUGGGUUGAAUCAUUUUCUUGUUAAUUUUAUUUAAACUUUAUGAAACUAAAAAGACAAUAUCAUAAACAAAUUUUCCACCCUUUUGUUUUUAUAAAAGUUUCUUUUAUUAUUAGAAUUUUUACAUUAUUGAAUUAUAUUAUGUAUUGUCACUAAAUUAUUAUUUGUUGGCUAAUUAUAUAUUUUUAAAACUCUGUUGACUAAUUUUGCAUUAACCUUUUUGUUCUUAUAAGAAAAAUCAACUCAGUAUAUAUAUCAAUGAACUCUUAUUGUUUUAACUUAGAUACAAAAUUAAAAUUAUAGUGCUCUCAAUUACAUUUAAAUAUUGUUGUAAAUAUAUAAGGUCGAAAUACUGGUUUUGUCCAUCAUGAUGUCACAUCUAAUAUUGUGAAAAAUUAUACACUUGUUUAGCAUAAUAUUUCUGCCAAAACAUUAUAUAUAUUUGUGCCAAAAAUACUACAGAUAUAUAUUAAUCAUACAAAUAAAAUUCUUUUGUGUGAUUUUAAAUUAUAAACUUUAUUAUUAUUAUUUUUUUUUUUCCUAAAAAAAUAUAACACUUUAUUAUUUUAUGUAAUACCAAUAUAAAUAAUUAUUAAUUACAAAUAUGAUUUAUUUACAUAUAUAAUAUUAUAAUAAAAAUAAUGAGAAAUUCCCUAUGAUAGACCUAAAAAAGUUUUUGUCACAAAUAUAAACCUCAAAAAUAAAAAUGACCAAAAUAGACUUAAAUGUUUUAUCAAAAGAAGUAAAUAUAUACUUAUACCCCUAGGGUUAAUUAAUCUAGACAUUAGGGUUUAGAGUUAAGGGGGUGGGGUUUAGGGUUUAAAAAUAAAAAAAGUUAAAAUUUUCAAAAUAAAAAGUGCUAUUUUGGUCAUUUUAGUUUUUGAGGUCUAUUUUUGUGACAAAAACUUUAAAAGAUCUAUUUAAGAGAAUUGCCCAAAAAUAAUUCUCUAUUAAAUAUUUCUUGAUCUGUUACCAAUCUCAUGCUUUCUUUUCCUUGAUAAACUGUAAUGCAAGAUUUAUAAGAGAUAAAGAGCAAAGCAAUAGUUUGUAGCUGAAGGCGAGAAGAGUUUUGUAGAAGUUGGAAUCUUGUUGAUGUGUGUGUUCUCAAGACCGUCAGUGAAGGUGAGUGUAGUUGGCGGUUGUUUGUUUUGUUAACGGUCAUCGUUAAAUAACAUAAAGGUGGUGUUAUAAGCUGACGGGAAUUUAAAUCAUUAGAAUCAUAAGUUACAUCGAGUCUAAAGCAGCAAAAUGAAAGGAAAAAAGUGAGCUCAUAUGUUAUUACAAAACCAAAAAUCAUUAUCGCAGAAAGCAGAAGAGAUUGAUUACUAAUACUUGUAAAGAAAAUCAAGGCUGCCAGAGAUCUGUGAUUCUAAACCCAGCAACUCCACCAGGCCCUCCCAUUGCUGCAUGUUAAAGUAUGAACUAAAAAGGGCAAAUACAUAAGAAAAUAUGUUUGGAGUAUGACUUGGAAAAUAUAUACCUUGAGACUUUUAUUGGACACUGAUUUUCCAACAUAAUAAAACAGCUUUUGACAACCAUCACUUUUAGAUAGUGCUCGGCCCGGGCUUGCUGAAGCCGAAAAAUCCCUGACCCUUUCUCCACAUGUUUUCAGUGAUGCACUUCAGAGAUCUAAGCAUCAUAACUUAUUUCAGAUGGAAUCUGUUUUUUCAGCAACUUUUGAGAUAAGAAAACACAAGUGUAAAAUAUAUUUUGAACAUGUCAAUACUGUUAUAAGUUUAGAGUUGGCAUUACUAAAUUCAUAUAGAUGGCAAAUCUCUAGACUCUGCAUCAGGAGAAACGUAAUAACCAUGUGAAGCCUUCAGACAAGAUCUUAAGAUUUAAAGCAACAAUAGAGAAUGGUAAUAGGUGUAACUUAAAUAAGCAACUGAUUUUCUUUACCUGGCUGCCAACAGAACAACAGCUCUGAUAAGCGUAAUCCAUGUUUCUCGCAAGAUGGUAGAUAAGCAGGAGUUAUCUGAAAAAAUCCAAACAUAAAGAAUACACAACAGGUACCAACAUGGAUAAGUUCUCUGCAACUUUAGAUUGAUAUUUUUACAGGAAGAAGGUACAUGAUAAGUGAUAAAAGAAACGGUACCUGACAAGUCAAAGAAUGAGAAGAAAGACUUGAUCAUAGACAACUCUAUGGAGCUCUUCCAUGUUAUUUCACCUAAAUUCGAUGCUAAUCAUGUGCAAGAACUUCUGCUUCAUCGCUUCCAUAUGUGAAUAAGUUCAUCAUGUGUGCAACAAUCCUAACAACACAAACAAAAAGUAUUGCCAUGGAUCCGAUAAACAAUAUUGCAUUCUCAAUUGAAUCAACAACCGCCUUGCCUAGCCGGACUCUUUGAAACACACUGCUAGCGCAACUUGCAUCGCUUCGUUACACAAUGCCGAAUUGCUGAGAAAGUUACAGCUUUGGUUAGGAUUAAAUCCAAUGGCCUCAACUUCACAAAAUACGACGACAUGUAAUCACCACGGAGCUUCUGCUCCGCCUCCUCCGAAACUCCUCUCCGCCUUGGAGUCCGUAAUCCGCCAUCUUGAUUGAAUCCUGUCAACAUAUGAAAACUAAACCGAAGGUAUAUCAAAUGUCUAGAUCUCCUAGACUUUAUAACUGUUUCUUACGAUCUGAAUUUUGAUUCAUUCUUCGGCGUUUGAUACUAAUUGCUGAUCGUCUCGGAUGUACAGUAACUGGUUGUUAGAACAAACUAUUCUUCUCGAUCUCGUUUGAGUUGUGGUGGCCAUCGUCGCACCUUGUAACCUUCAGCCUGUUACUGUGGGAUGGAAGAGGUCGAUUUAGACGUUACGGGGAGGUGAAAGCCAUCUCAAAAGUUUAGUCCAUAAGAAGAAGAGGAACCAGAGGAAAAGGAAACCUAAAUAUUGACAUUAUUUUCCAUUUUGUUUAAGUCCAUCUGCAAUAAAAAAUUUUGUUUACAAAGUCCAUCGGCAAUCAGAAAGCCCAGUACAAACAUUGGGAACAAAACGCAAUUUCGGCUUGUGUUUAAGAGUGACACGUGUCCAAAAAUGUCUCCUCCUCUUUGCUGACGUGGCGGCCUAUGGAGACAGGCUAGUCAACUUUGUUUAUAAAGAUCUUCACUAACAAUUCAAGCGUAAGGGCUUUUUACCUCUCUCCAACAUCCCACCUGUAACCAAAAAUCAUGAGAAGAUAUCUAAAUCAAUUUCACUUCUUUCCUUAUGGUUUCAGAAGGAAACAACACCUGGAUGCACAUUAGUUUUCUGAUCUGAACCCUCAGCUGCCGUGAACGUCUAAGACAUUCAGUUAUACUUUCAGCAUCAAACGGCAACUAAAUUUUAUCCUACAGACAACCAAUAAUAUUAGGUUGACUGAAAACUAUUAACUAAAUUUUAGUGUGUGGUUAACAGUUAACUGAUACAAGUAAAAUUCUUUCACAGCUUUUCUCGGCAUUGCAACAAAAGAAUUCAAAUAACUUGCAUGGUUAAGCAGGAAAAAGAUAGAACAAGCAGCAUAUAUGAACUUUGUUCCCCCAUCGAGAAGAAGCUCUCUAUACUGAUACAAUCAUUGUAAACAUACUCUUCGUAUAAAAAAUUUGUAACUCAUUUUGAAAAUUCUAAUUAGUUCUUUUCGGUUAACAUGAUUUAUUGAUCUUCAAAUAUGACAAUAUAUACAUACUCUAUAUAUAUAUAUAUAUAUAUUCAAACAGUAAUGAUCAAAAAGUAUUAGAUUUUUAUGUGUGUACCUAACUUAAAAUAUUUUUUUAUUACAGUGAAUCGGGUACAUCAUAUAAAUCAACAGUUUAAAUAAAAAUGUAUAAAAUAAAAAGUAUAACAAACAUAUAAAAAGGAAAAAUAACAUAAGCUAACACAAUCAACCGCUUUUUUUUAAAUAUUAUUCUCAUUAUCAUAGUCAAAUUAGAAAACCAUUUUAAAAAAUAAAACAAAUUCAUUUUCAUGAAAAACAUUAAUAGUCAAACAAGUAUAUAAUCCCUAAAUGGAAUAAUAAAAUAGAUAGUAAUUUAAAAAAACAGUAAUAUUUAAUACUAUUUAAAUUAAAAUUUCAAAAAUUUGUUAGAUUUGCUUAUUUGUUCACCCGCCUGUAGGGCAGGCUACACCCUAGUAUAUAAUAAUCUAAAUGUUACAAAUCAUAAUACACUAAAAGUAUAAAACUCAUCAUGUCUAAAACAUGGUGAAGAGCUCAGGGACGCAAAUACUUAUUUUUCGGUCGAGCCAAUCAUUCUCUAUUGUGUGUAUGAGUUCGAAAUUAGAUAUGCUUCUUUAAGAUUUUUCAUUGUUACCAAGCGGGCAUGAUUUUUGGUGCUUUUAGCAUUUUGCUGGAUCUUAUAUUUUAAAUGAUUCCAAGUGGCAAUCGUUUCACUCCUUUGAUCGUCUCUCUUUCUCCUAGUGUUGGAGAUUUGAAGGCUUAAACUAUUGUCUUGAAGGACCAAAAGUUAAGAGACACAUAGAUGAUGGAAUGUAAACUACUUCCGAUGAUGGAAACUUUAACUACUUCCACUGACAUUAAACCCAAAUUAAAUUAAAGGCCCUUAGUUAAAUUAAACCAAAGUUUAGCAAUUUCUUCUUUUCAAACGAAUGUAAGGGAGAAAACAAAACGUAAUUUUGUCAAAAAGUUUAGCAAUUGGUUAUACUUUGCUUGCAUGAGAAAUAUUCUCUUUAUGUUUUUGAAUAUUGUAAUUUGUUUCCGUACAUUGUUGAUUUUCCUUAGUUCUAAUUUGUUGACCAACAUCUAUGAAUUAGGAAGCACUUUACUUCAAAAUAUUGCACUAAAAGAAACACACAAUUUGACUUUUUAUAUUCACAUCAAAAAUUAACAAACUGUAAUUAUGGAUGUAUAUAGGUCUAUAAACAACAUGUUUCACCAAAUCUAAACUUGCAUAAGGUCUAUAACCUUUACUUUUGCUCUCUACUAAUAAAACAAACUUUCCAUCUGUCUUAUGUUUCAGAGCUUCUAUUUUGCCUAUGGCCUGCAUGGUUGGACCAGCUUUGAUUCAUACGUCACUCAUUCCGUUGGAGGUUUCAUAUAUUUCAAGAUCAACAAUAUUUAUGUUCUUCUAUUAAAGACUGCUGUAGAAUCUUUAGAUCACUAAUGAGAAAAAUGAUCCACAAAAGGAUAAAGAGCAUUUUCAAUUAGCCCCCCUCCCUUUCGAAUUUCUCCGUCCUUGUCAUGUAUUCACACCCUAUAUUUCAAUGUGUUUAUAUACAGUAAAACAUAUAUAAAUUAAUACUCGAUAAAUUAAUAUUUCUAUAAAUUAAUAAAUUUCGCCGGUCCUAACUUAGAUCAGUUCAAAAUUUGACACAAAUCAAUAAAAUAAUAAGAUAAUAUUUUUUAAAAAAAAAAUACUGUGUAAAUAUAUGGUCUCAUUAAAAUUAUAAAUUAAUAAUUUAUAUGUAUAUAUAUUUUAUAUAAGUAAAAACUUAUUAUUAUAGUAUUUAUUUUAUAUUCAAAAUGGAAUUAUCUUUAUAAUUUCUUAACACUUAAUAUAUUUUUGAUUAGAUUUAGUAGUAUUAUUUCUAAAACACACAUUUAAGUUCUAUGCAAUAUAUAUUAUAUACACCAAAUAAUAUAAUGAAAUGAAUAUAAAUGUCAAAUUUGAAAAAUAACAAUUAUCUUAGAAUAAAUAUAUAUUAAAAUAAUAAAUCUAAAUAAAGAAAUUUUUUUAAAUUAAUAUUUUUAUAAAUUAAUAAAAUUUUAAUAUUAUUAAUCUAUAAAGGUUCUACUUUAUUAGACAACAUCUUCAAUUAGCCCCCUUCCCUUUUUCCCGUAUAAUUUUUUUUUUAAACAUAAAAGACCGUAUAUUAAUUUGUUGACUUCCCAAUAAUUUUGGCUCUACAUUUCUUUUCGGGAAAAUGAAAAAAGAAAACAAUGUGGAAAAUAUUGAACAAGGAAGAUUAAGAUGCGUCGGCUUUGUAGUUUGUGCAAGUUGCAAGUUGCAAGUUGCAACAUCCCGCGCGUUCCAAGUCAACCUCGUAUUCCACGCAAAUCGUAUCUUAAUCAUAUGGCUAUCUCAUCUAGUUUAUUACUCUCUACAUUUCCGAAAGUAAGAUGUUUUGAUUUUUUACUUAUUCCAUAAAGAUAAAUUUUCUAUAUGUUUAAAAUAUUUUUUUAUACUUUUAAAACACAUUAAAUAAAAAUAUUUGAAUUGAUGAAAUUUCAUUGGUGAAAAUUUAUUGUAAAAUGUAUAAUAAAAUAAAAAAAAAUUAAAUUAUAAAUAUUUAUUGAAUUCUUAAUAAACAUGAACACUUUAGAAAAUCUUACGUUUAGGAACUGAGGUAGUAUACUAUAUGUCAAAUUGUCAACGUUUCUUCUCUUCUGUCUCAAAUUUAUAACAUUCCCACUCUUUCAUUAUAACGGUAUUUUUAUGGUCAUGUAAGUUUGUAUGACUCAAGUUUAGACUCUUUUUUUUUGUUGGAUUUCAAAAAUGUAGGAACAAAGUUAUACAUAUUUGUUUUGAUUAAAAUAAUUUCAAUAAUUCGAUAAAAAAAAACAUAUAUGACAAUAUUACGGAAUAACAUUUUUGAAGUUAAACAUUAAGUUUUGGUUUAAAUCAUAUGUGUUUGAAUUCUAAUUAGUUUUCUGAUUGUUUAAGCUAUAUGAUGAUUGGUUAGCGGAGUUGAAUUCGGCACAUUACUCCAAGUAUAAUGAAUACAUGCAUUAUAUACAUUUAAUCAUAUAUAGCGGAUGUUUGAGUUGAACCGGUUCAAUGAUAUGACCAACAUAAGUUUUGAAAAUUGCUAUAAACAACUAGUAUAUCAAGACGUAACUCUUGGUUUAACUUGUCAUGGAUAGGGCAAUACGGAAAAAUCUUUACGUAUACCCUAAAAAGCCUAAAUUACUGGGAAUCGCUCGUCAAUCACGGGUCACAACCCGACCCAAUCAACCGUAUCUACCCAACAUGGUCCACCUUCGUCCAAUCAAUUAAAUCCACGUAGGAACUAUCCAUUGUCACUUGUCUCGUGGAAUCCCAAAUGACUCUUUCUUUUUCGAGUAUAAAAGAGCCUACGCACAACGAGUCUUUCAUAUCUCUCCCGCUAUAUAUUACAAAUACAAAUAAAAAAAGAACAGAACCAAACUCAAGAGUUAUAAAAAUGGCGGGAAAAUCGUUAACUUUGUCGGGACUGGCGGCGGCGAUUAUUCUCGUUAUGCUUCUACUUUCACCGGAGAUCUGCACCGGACAUGACUAUCGCGACGCUCUCAAGAAGAGCAUCCUUUUCUUCGAAGGUCAACGCUCCGGCAAGCUGCCACCAGAUCAACGCCUCAAGUGGCGCCGUGACUCCGCAUUACGAGACGGUUCCUCCGCCGGUGUACGUCCACCGUCUCCAAAACCCUCUCUUUAUUAAUAACUCGCAAUCUUUUACUGAUAUUUGUUUUUUUUAUUUUCAGGUGGACUUGACCGGAGGCUACUACGACGCCGGAGACAACGUGAAGUUCGGUUUCCCGAUGGCCUUCACGACGACCAUGAUGUCAUGGAGCGUCAUAGACUUCGGGAAAACGAUGGGACCGGAGUUAGAAAACGCCUUGAAAGCGAUCAAAUGGGGAACGGACUACCUCCUCAAAGCGACUGCCAUUCCCAGCGUCGUGUUCGUACAAGUCGGAGACGCUUACUCCGACCACAACUGCUGGGAACGUCCUGAGGACAUGGACACGCUACGAACGGUUUACAAAGUCGACAAGGAUCAUCCUGGUUCUGAAGUCGCUGGCGAGACUGCCGCCGCUUUAGCCGCCGCGUCGAUCGUGUUUGCGAAACGCGAUCUAGCAUACUCCAAACGCCUGCUGGACCGUGCAGCAAGGGUACUCUACUUUAAUUUUACUUUAACGUUCUUAAUUUUCUUCUUUUUUAACAAAAAUUGCAUGCUUUGUCCAAAAGUUUAAACAGAUAAUUAUGCUUUGCUUGCGUGAUUAAUGCUCUCUUUUAUGUUUUAUUAUCCGUACACUUUUGAUUUCUUGUUCUAACAAAUUUUGACAAACAUGCAAUUUACGCCACUGUUAACUAUAAAGCACUUCACUUUAAAAUAAAUAAAUAAAAACCACAAAAUCUGACUUUGUUUUUAUUUAUUUGUUUGUUUUGGUCAACAUCUGGCUUUCUUUAAUGACUUUCAAAAUGUUAAUUCAUUAAAUCAUGGAUGUAGGUGUUUGCGUUCGCUAAUAAGUACAGAGGAGCGUACAGUGAUAGUCUUCGCCAUGCAGUAUGUCCUUUUUACUGCAAUUUCAACGGUUACGAGGUAACUAAAGGUUUUAAUUACCACAAUUAGAUCUCAUAAUCAAAAGAAGUAAAACGUUAACCAGAUGAGUGUGCGUGCAGGAUGAGUUGCUCUGGGGAGCGGCAUGGCUACACAAAGCUUCGAAGAAACGAGUAUAUAGAUUGUAUAUUGUGAAGAACAAAGAGAUUCUUAGAGCUGGAGAAACUAUUCACGAGUUUGGUUGGGAUAACAAACAUGCUGGGAUUAAUGUCUUAAUCUCCAAAAUGGUCUUAAUGGGAAAAUCAGAUUAUUUUCAGAGCUUUAAGCAAAACGCUGACGAGUUUAUAUGUUCUUUAUUGCCUGGGAUUUCUCACCCUCAAGUGGAAUACUCACUAGGUAAAAUAAAGAAAAGUUUUAGUUAACUAGUUUCUCUUGUUUCAAAAAAAUAAAAAUAAAAAUUAACUAGCUUCUCUAGUGACUUUAUUUGUACUCAUCAUGUUUGAUUUUUACUGGGUAAUUUAACACAAACACAGGAGGAUUACUAGUGAAAAGUGGAGGGAGUAACAUGCAGCAUGUAACAUCUUUGUCAUUUCUAUUAUUAACAUAUUCUAAUUACCUAAGUCACGCCAAGAAGGUGGUGCCUUGUGGCCAAUUCACAGCUUCUCCAGCUCUUCUCCGUCAAGUAGCCAAGCGACAGGUAACUAAUUAACAUUCUUACAUUUCCCUGUUUCAGCACCGAGAUGGAGUGAACAUAAUAGUAGUUUAUGUGCUUGUGUCGUACGUUAAUGUAGGUGGACUACAUACUAGGAGAUAAUCCAAUGAAAAUGUCGUACAUGGUUGGGUAUGGUUCGAGGUUUCCACAGAGGAUUCACCAUCGUGGAAGCUCGGUUCCUUCGGUCGUGGAUCAUCCUGCUCGCAUAGGGUGCAAAGAAGGAUCUCGUUAUUUCCUCAGCCCGAACCCUAACCCUAACUUGUUAAUUGGCGCUGUCGUUGGUGGGCCUAAUGUCACUGACGAUUUUCCUGAUUCAAGGCCGUACUUUCAGCUGACUGAGCCCACGACUUACAUCAACGCACCUCUACUGGGCCUUCUUAGUUACUUUUCGGCCCAUGCUUAAUAUUCCCAAAGCAUAAUGAUGAAUAGUAGUCUGCUUGUCAAGAUUUUGUCUAGAGGUGUGCUGAUAACUCGUCACCACCCUAAACUACCAGAUGUUGAAUGUUUAUUAGUUUUCUACACCAAGAGAAUUCAGCCGAUAGGGGAAUUACUCACAAAACAUUGUUUUACUAUACAUGUUUAUGUAGCACACAAAUGAUCAAUUGUAAUUUGGAAUUAAAUAGUAGCUGAAAUGCCUUGCUUUAUGGAUGAUACAUGUCCGUACUUCUUAUUUUUUUAGAUAGCAUUUUAUUUAAAUUGCAAGGAAGAAGAAAUUACAAGGUUAUGAGUCAUCUAGUUCAAGAGAAUAGUUUGGGGAACACAAUUGCUCAUUUGAGAUAUUUACUAUUUUGAACCACAACUAUAUCUUAACUUUAAAUUUGGUCUGAAGGUGUGUUUCUCGUAGAUUUGAAUGACAUAAUCUAAAUGAUUUUUAGUAGUGUGCUGACCCAUAAAAAAAUCAUUUUAUUUAAGAGAAUAUUUUGAAAGAGAAUAGUUCAUUUGAGUUUUUUGCUAUUGUGGACUACCAACAACUCUGAAAAUGCUUUACAUAAAUUUGAAUGCAUAUAAUCUUAAUAGUGUAUUGGUCCGCAAAGAAAUUCACUGUGUCUUCCAUUGGUGUAAAUCUUCACAAAAUUUGAAAUUUGAAACUUUGCUAAGAAUAUUUUAAAGUAAAAUUUUAUAAAUUUGUGAUUACUCUUUUUAUUUUUAGAUCAUAAAAAUUUAAAAUAUAUUUUAUAGAUGAUUACAAUAGAAAUGUGAGGAGGUUUUUUUAUCAAAGAAAUGUGAGAAGGUUAAGUUUGCGCAGAUUUUUAUAUUACUAUAAUAAUAAUAGUGCAGAUUUUUAUUUAUUAGAAUUAAUCAAUAUUAACUUUGUGUCAUUUAUAAAAUAAAAAUUUUAAAAUACUGGGGUUUUGCAUAUGGUUAAACGUUAUAUUUAGUUUUUUUUACUAAAUUUUUAUUUAUUUAUUUUAGUUUUAAUUUGUGAAAAAUUACGUAGCUAAAAACAUAAUUCAAAGACAUGUUUUGUGAAUAAAAUAAUAACUUAAAUCAAAAUAAUAAAAAUGUAUUACAUUUAUUAUCACUUAAUUUUUUUACUCUAUAUAAUUAUUUUACUAAAUAAUAAACUUUUUUUGUUUCACUUAAUUUAGUCAAACAAAUAGAAAUAGUCUUUUUAUUAGUUUAUAAAAUCAGUUAGACAUGAACAUUGGCUAUUCAUUUAGGUAUGAGUUGUUCUUUCGGGUAUCAUUUUUUUUUUGAUAUUAAGUCCGCUUGAAUAUUAUAAAGUUAUGUGUGGGUUUUGAGUUGAGUCAUUCUGGAUGAAUUCGAUUUUGAUUUAUAAAAACCUAAAAAUAUCUAAAUAACAAAUGUAUAUAAAACAGGUUUAGAUAUUUAUACCAAAAAUAACCAUAUUACUCGAUUCGGUCCAAAUCUUUUGAAUACAAUUAGUUAUAUUACGAUUCAUCUAAAAUAUAUAAUACUAAUUAUGAAAAACAAAUAUCAAUGUAUAAAAUUGUAAGAACCAAUAUUCGCGCAGAUGAACGGAUCAUUCUCUAAUUUUAUUUAAGAGAAUAGUUUGAAAGAGAAUAGUUCAUUUGAGUUUUUUACUAUUGUGGACUACAAACAGCUCUGAAAAUUCUUUCCAUAGAUUUGAAUGCAUGUAAUCAAUAUAACUCUUAAUAGUGUAUUGGUCCGCAAAGAAAUUCAUCGUGUCUUUCCAUUGGUGAAAAUCUUCACAAAAUUUGAAAUUUGAAACUUUGCUAACUACAAAGAAAAUUUUCUUGACCAGUAACUCCAUUAUUUUUUGGCUUAUAAAAAAUUGAGGAACUUAUCCAAUAAUUUGUUCGAAUGGAAUAUUUUAAAAGUGAAAUUUUAUAACUUUUGUGAUUACUCUUUUUUAUUUUUAGAUAAAAUGUGAGAAGGUUAGCUCCGACAAAAUCUAAGAGAAGGCAGGAAAAGGGAAAUAAUUAAUUUGAAGACCAAAGACCAAGGUGUAGAAUUAUGAACUUGUCUUUGGUCGGCUGGUUUACGCUAACACAAGAACGCUAUUUUGUCCUACUCUCUCUUUCUCAAAAAGAUCAUUCCUUUUUUCUUCAUUCUCUCUCUCUCUCUCUUUCUCAGACAUUUUUGUCAAACGGAUGGUGCUCGCUUAACGAACUAACUAGCCCUCCGGGACUCUCUCUAGCUUUGGUUUUCUUCUCCGAUUUAGAAAGGAGGAAAAAAGCGAAAACGAGAUCCUAAUGCAAGUAGAGCGAGUGACAUGGAAGGAGUAGAGCUGGAAUUAGAGAGAAGAAGCAAGUUCUUGAACAGCUUGAUACAGCAGAAGAAGAAGGCUAAAGAGCAGCAUGACCUUAACGACGAGUUCAAUGUACGUGUUAGAGCUUCCGAUAUGCCUCUGGUUAUGCAGAACAGGGCCUUCGGUUUGUCGCGUGAGGUCUUGAACGCCACUCCUGGAAAGGCCGACAACAAAAGACUCGCUCUCUCCCUUAAAAAGGUCACACAUCUUUUCUUUCUUUUUUUUUUUGUUUCUCCCUUCUGAUUUCUCUGUUUAUCUCUUUAAAAGUCGCAUAUUUUAUUGAAAAAUUUGUAGUGUACUGCUUUUGGGUCCCUAUGGGGCUACCGUCUCAAGUCGCAUGCUUUCUGUAGAUUGUGUUACUGUCUUCUCGAUCUUGCUUGACUUGACGAAUCUGGAAUCUUUUCCGUUUUAGGAUUGGGGUGGGGUGGGGGGGUGGGAAUAAAGUAUGAGUCUCUUUGUAACUUGUCUUGAAACUGGAUGUGUUAUAUUUGCUUAUUUGAGAUGGGUUUUUUAGAGCUGACUAAGGAAGGCCAUGACUCAUGAGACCAUUUAAUAUCCUGGAUUUUAUAGAAGCUUCUGUUUCUCUUCUGUUAGUGUUAGAUGGCUACUGGUCAUGAUAAAUCUGUAGCAUCUUGCUUUAGGAGAGGAGCCCUGUCCAAAUGGAAACUUCUUUCUUCUGAUAGAGACCGGUCAGGCGUUACUACCACCAUAUAUAGAACUUUUGUACAUGGGCUCAGGGUCUAAUGAUGGACACUUCUAAAAUCUGGGGAUAUUGUUCCUACUUAGAGAGCAUUGAUUGUUAGCUUUUGACUUUGUAAAAUUCCUCAUAUUUGACUUGAGGUAUGUCAGAUAUUUUUAUUAGAGCUUGAAUUGUGGAUCCAAGUCUGAGUUUACAUUGGUGGUUGAGAUAUAAAAAAAAGCCAGUAUUUACUUUACUUGUAUAGUCUUUUAAUAAUGGCGGCCAUUCUUAGGUUUUAUGUUUGGCAUGCGAUUCAGAAUCUGCUGUUUUGCCUUCUUGUUAUGAUAAUGGAUCUCUUCUCUCCAGAUAGACCUUCAUAUAUAUAUUUCUCAUCUCUUUGAAAUUUUCCUAACUUGUUGCAUAGAAUUUAAACUUGCAUCAAAAUGUAUAUAAACUUUCCAUCUGAUCUUUACUGUUUUUCAGGAUUUUGAUUCAGCCUAUGGCCCUGCAUGGCACUGCAUCGUUGGGACCAGCUUUGGUUCAUACGUCACACAUUCCAUUGGAGGAUUCAUAUAUUUCCAGAUCGAUAAGGUUUAUGUUCUUCUUUUCAAGACUGCAGUGGAGCCCCUCACCAAUGAGUAAAUGUUGAUCCAUCUAAAAAAGACCAUCUUCAACUAGCCCCCCCUUCCUUUCUGUUUUCUCUGUCUCUUAUUAUUCACACGCUAUUUAAUUUCGAGUUUGAUGCAAAUCAACAACAGGUUUUUAACUCGUGGCGUAUAAAUUUUCUUCUCCUGUGAAUUGUUUCAAACUUCACAAAUGCAACUUGAAAUCGCCUUGAGAAAAUUUCUCUUUUUCAGUAUCCAUCCAAAGUAAGGAGUUUCAAGCACAUGCGUAUGUUUGGGUUGGUGAAAGAAUGUAGCAGAAGCCUAUGCGGAGAUUGAUAAGUCUUUUCUGAGCUGUGAUAUUUUUUUUUUGUCAAACAGCUUCUUGCAUUUCAGUCUACAAUAAUAAGUCGAUCAAGGCCCUGAUCUUGCCAAAGAGUCGGCCUGAUAGUUUUCUAAACGAGGAACAAAAAAACAUAGGAUAGUGGGACAGAAGAGCGUGGCAGAUUAGCCAAGAAACGAUUGAAAAACCUGUGAAUCGGUUUAACUACAAAACUAAAUUAUACUCUCUCUGUUUCACAAUGAUAGACUUUCCAAUGUUUUCACACAUAUCAAAAAAACACAUUAAAUCAUUAUAAUAAAUGUAUAGUUUUCUGCAAUUUUCAAUUUUUAAUAUCUUUUAAUCAAUAGUAAUUCAAUAAAAUCAAUUAAUCUUUUUGAAGUUUACAAUUUUUUUCAUAGAAAACACAAAAUAUAUAUCUUUGUGAAACAAUUUUAUUUUUCUAAAACAUCUGUCUUUUUGAAGCGGAGAGAGUAUUGUUUUAUUUGGUUUAAAAUGGUUUCUAACAUUUUUUAUAGCUUAUUUAUAUUUUGCUUAACUUAUAUGUUUGUAAUUUUCCCUUAAGAGUAUCUCCAAAAGAAAUUUUAUAAUAUUAAAUAUAGAAUUUAUUAAUUUCUAAAAAGAAAUUUUAAAACUUCAAAAUUUCGCCAGUCAAAACUUUAUAUUUAAAGUUUCACCACUCAAAACUUCAAAUUUGAAAUUCCAUCUUUUUAUUUACAUUUUGAUCCUUAUAAUAAAUUAGACUUCACAUUUAUGAUUCUUACGUAUUUUCUCAUUUAUCGUUUUAAUACUUAAAAUUUGUAUAUAUCAAAAAUAUUUCAAUUUUGUUCUUAUAAAUUCGAAUUUAAUAAAUAAAAUUAAAAUUAAAUAAAUUUUAAAAUAUUUUAAAACUAGAAUUAGACAACAAAAAUACUACAAAAGAAACUUAAUAAAAAAAACUUUUCAAAAAGAUACAUGAAGACAUAAUUAUUACACAAAUUUAAAUAUUACAACAACACUAAUAGUCUGGUAAAUUUACUUCGGAACCUCCAAAAUUUCUAAAAUAUAUUUCAAAUAAAUUUGUGUAACAGAAUUUAUGGAAUAGUGUAAUAUUUUGGUUUUAGUUAAAUAUUUAAUUAUGUAUUUCUAUUUAUAAUUUUAUAUUUAAGUGUAAGAUUUUAUUAAUUAAUAUUACUAUAAUAUUUUAAUAUUACUAUAAUAUUUUUAUAUAUGUGCUAGUUAUUUAUAAAAGUUUUAUGAAUUUAUAUUAGUUAUAAUAAAUAUAAGGACUAUAGUGUACAAUACAAAUAAUUUUGAAGUUAAGUUUGAAGUUUUGCUUUUGGAGAUGAACACCUUUAAAUUUCAAAUAUAGAGUUUUACAAACUCUAAAUUAGUGAAUCUUUUUUUGGAGGUGCUCUAACUACAAGAUUUUUGGUCAUAUACUCUUUUAUGUUUCACAUGAUUUAUAUUUUAGAAUUUUCAGACAUAUUAAAAAAAUUACAAAAAUAUAUAUUUUAUAAAUUUUCACUAACCAAAAUUUAAGAAACACAAUUAAUAUUUUUGAAUUCUAAAAUUUACCUAAUAAAAAUGUAUUGAAAUAUAUAAAAAACUAGGUGUUUUGUCCGCACCAGCGAAUGUAAUUAUUUUUAAAAUAUUUAUAAAUAGAUGCAUUAUCAAAUAAAAAAUCAUUAAAAUAAGUUUAUAUUUAUGUUUUUAAAAUAUUCUAUAAUAAUGAAAAAUAAAUCUUUAUAUAGAACAAUCAUCACACGAAUAUUGUUAUUACGUAAAAUAAAUUUGAAAACACUCAUGUGUUUAAAAUAUUUUUAAAAAAUUAAAUAUCAAAUUUUGACAAAGUUUUUCAUUCUAAGAAAUUAUUUUUAUUGCAAAAAUUAAACUUAAAAAAUUCAUGUAACAUACAAUUAUAUACAAUUUAUAUAGGGAUUUAUCUUUCUUUUUAUUGUUUAAAAAAAAAUUAUGAUGUAAAAUUAUUUUUUGGAUAACACAAUAUAAACUAUUUUUAGAUAAUUAUAAUUAUUAAAUUACUGAAAUUCGUUUUAAAUUUAUGGUUAACUUUAUUAACAAAGCUAAUUAUUUCUUAAGGGUUUAUCUUUUAAAAAAAAAAAUUUAAAAAAUUAUGAUGUAAAAUAUUUGUUAGAUAGACACAAUAUAAACUAUUUUCAGAUAAUGAUGAUAACAAAUUACUGAAAUUCGUUUUUGAUUUAUAGUUAAUCAUGUAUUAACAAAUCUAAUUAUUCAUUAAGAAUAUCAUUGACUUUCGUCAUUCUAACUCUUUCACCUUGAGAGCUUGAUUGCAAAUAACAAUGACAGUAUAGAUAUGUCUUUUGGAAGAAAAUUUUUUUUUCUAAAAAUAGAUCAUCUCGGAAAAGAGGGAUUAAGUCAGCGAAAGAUUUUCCUAAAAAUCCUACUCUCCUAACAGCCAAAGCUUGUAUGGAGAGUUUAGUUGACAAAGCUUUGUUAGUUCUUUGUGUUCUGUUGAACAUUCUUGUCUCUGUCUAAAGCAAAAAAAAAAAAAAAAGAGAUACCGUUUAAACCGAAAAACCUGAGAAAGAUCACAAACGAACAAAGUGACAGAGAGAGCAAAUGGAUCAAUCGCAGCAGCAGCAGGAGCGCACAGUCGGUGCUCCUUCAUCUUCUCGAUCGUAUCAGUUCCAUCCAGCUCGUGCUGCAAUCGUCGAUCUCUUCAACCUCUACUUAGGGGUAUAUUAUAUACAAUCUCUUCCUCCAUCUCCGACUUCUCGAAUUUCAAUUUCGCUGCUGAUUUCACCUUUUUAUUUCACAGAGAGGAAACCUUCAAAAGCCCGAUGAGCCCAUACGAGAUCCUCCGUAGGAUGUUUCCACGAUCCUCCUUACCUUCUUCAAUUAGACAAAUAAAAAUCUAAUCUUUUUGUUCACAGGAACAAAUCACAGAAGCGUGUUCAUGCUCCUGUUAGAGACUUACCACCUAGAAACGACCAAUUCAUUGUUGAUUUCGAGAAGCUUCAGACCCAAUUCAAUGUAAAGCUUCCACCUUUUUCAUCUCCUCCUCUUGUGGGUUCUGUUACAUAAUUGGUUUUUGCUGAUUAUAUACAGGACCCGGAUCAGUUGAGGGCAAUCACGGAGUCUGUUGUGAUAUCUAUGGUGUUGCAGUGUAGCAAUCACGCACCUAGGGCUGAGUUUCUUCUCUUUGCCCUGCGUACAUUGUGUAGAAUUGGUUGCGUUAACUGGGAUACCUUCUUACCUUCCCUUCUCUCUUCCGUCUCCGCUGCUGCUGCUGCUGCUGCUGCUACUUGUUCACAGUCUUUAGUUCCUGUUGGUGUUGGCUCUCCAGGAAACGAACCAACUGCUUUGUCAAAAUCUUUAGACGUCUCCGCGAAUGUGCAGCAGAUUGAUAUGAGGAAUAAUAGUCAACGUGUAAAAGCUGCAGCUAUAAACAGUCUGCGUCAGCUCAGCUGCAAGAUCAUCUUGAUCGGCGUUGAGUUCAAUCUCAAACCCGCCACUCACGCCGAGAUCUUCCAGUGUAUGAUGAGCUGGCUUGUGAACUGGGACAAGAGUGAUGACUCUCCCGGGAAGACGUGGAGAUCUGAGAAGAGUUUAGCUGAAUGGUUGAGGAGCUGUUUGGAAGUGAUAUGGCUGUUGGUAGAUGUGGGAAAAUCUAAGAUUCCUUUUUAUGAGUUGCUGCGGAGUGGUCUCCAGUUUAUAGAGAACAUACCUGAUGACGAAGCCUUGUUCGCUCUUGUCAUGGAGAUACACCGGAGGAGAGAUGCCAUGGCGAUGCACAUGCUCAUGUUGGACCAGCAUCUUCACUGUCCGACGUUUGGUACUCAUCGUAUAUCGUCUCCAACAACUGCUAAUGUUUCAGCAGAAGCUGUGGCUCACCUUCGCUAUUCUCCGAUUACGUAUCCAAGUGUGCUUGGUGAACCUUUAUCUGGCGAGGUGAAUAGUUUUUCGUAGCUAGGCAGACAAUUUGUGUGUGUUUUAAUCUCUCUUUUUUUUUUUUUUUUUUUAAAAAAACUGGUAGGAUUUGGCAAUGUCUGUUCCACAAGGAAGCUUAGAUUGGGAAAGAGCAGUGCGUUGCAUUAAACAUGCGAUUCGCACUACUCCGUCGCCAGAAUGGUGGAAGCGUGUUCUGGUUGUGGCCCCUUGUUAUAGGCCUUCUGCACAAGCGGGGCCCAUCCCUGGUGCUGUUUUCACUUCUGAGAUGAUUUGUGAGGCAAUCAUUGACAGGAUUGUUGAGCUUCUCAAGCUCACCAACUCAGGUAACGUUUAAGUGUUGAGAUAACCACUAUUGACUAUACUAGGAUGAUUGUUUUGGUAUUAACUUGGUAUAUGUUGCUUCUCUCUGUGCAGAUGCAAAUUGCUGGCAAGAGUGGCUUGUUUUCUCAGAUAUAUUCUUCUUUCUAAUCAAGAGUGGGUGUACUGACUUUGUUGAUUUCAUUGAUAAGCUGGUCUUACGCCUUAACGGUGAUGAUAACCAUAUUCUUCGAACGAAUCAUGUGACGUGGUCGCUUGCACAAAUAAUACGCGUGGAGCUUGUGAUGACUGCUUUGAACUCCGAUCCUAGAAAGGUAUUUGCACCUGCAAUUCAAUUACUUUUCUAUGAGCUUGACAUCUUGAGUUUUCUUUCAGGCGGAGACGACUAGGAAGAUCUUAUCAUUUCACAGGGAAGAUAGAGCUGAUCCCAAUAAUCCCCAGAGCGUGUUGCUUGACUUCGUGAGCAGUUGUCAGAAUCUACGGAUUUGGUCACUAAGCGCAACAACUAGGGCAUACCUAAACAAUGAACAGCUGUUGAAGGGGAAACAGAUUGAUGAGUGGUGGAGAAGCAAAGGUGGAGUAGAUUACUGACAACUCCUUACCGAUUAUGAGAACUACUCCCUUUCUCUCUCUCUCUCUCUCUCUCAAUUCUGUUUCUUGUUUCAGGAGAGCGGAUGAUGGAUUAUAUGAAUUUGGAUGAUAGGUCGAUUGGCAUGUUCUGGGUUGUCUCCUAUACCAUGGCGCAACCGGCUUGCGAAACGGUUAUAAACUGGUUGUCUUCAGCUGGCGUGGCUGAGUUGUUGCCUGGAGUACCACCAAACGAGAGAACGAUGAUGAUGCAGGAAGUGAGCCCGUUGCCCAUGUCAUUGUUAUCUGGCUUUUCCAUGAACUUGUGCUUGAAGUUGGCCCUUCAGAUGGAAGAAGCCUUGUUUGUUAACCAGGUUUGUUUAGUACUUUGUCUCAAAAUGUUAGGCUGUAGCAAGUCUGUUAGCUUUAAUUUACAUCUAUAGCUAUAAAAUUCACCAAGCUUUAUUUAGUUUUUAAGGCUAAACCCAAAAAAUAAAGAAAUAGUUGUAGAAAGCUUUAUUUUCUGUACUAAGCUGUAGGAAAAAAUAUUUGCUGUAGGAAUAUCUUUUUUUUAUUUUCUUUCUCGUUUAGUUUUUACGACCACAUCAUAUACAAUUAAAGAAGGACUAAAUUCUACAGUAACAUUUGGACAGCUACAACCCAACUAAUCAUCCACAUUAUAUAUGUUAAGUGAUGCAGUGGUCUAUGUUGCUUUACUUAGUGACCUGUUUUCUCCACGGUCGAUUGUUCAGAAAUGUUAUAGUAGAUUUUAAAAUCCUAAGUAAAAUGAAUUUAUGUCAUAUUAAAACAUAUGGCAGCUGGUUGUUCCUAGCAUUGCAAUGGUAGAGACAUACACAAGAUUGCUGCUAAUUUCCCCUCACUCUAUGUUCCGUUCUCAUUUCACUGUAAGCUAGUUGGUUCUUUUUUAUUCCCUCAUCACCUUUGUAUAUAUUACUGUUUUUUUAAAAAUAAAAUUAAUCAUAAAGCGAUUCAUGAGAUUGCCUAACUUUCUGUAGCAAAUUGCCCAGAGAAAUGCUUCUCUGCUAAGCAAGCCUCCCGUGACUUUGCUUGUUCUUGAGAUUCUCAACUAUCGUCUGCUUCCGUUAUACAGGUAAAAAAUGAACAAAAAAGUUCUCAAGUUGAAGUAGAUCCUUUUAUACUGACCUCACUAAAUGCACCUUUUUGCAGAUACCAAGGAAAAACCAAAAGUUUAAUGUAUGAUGUUACUAAAAUACUCUCUGCACUGAAAGUAAAACGUAGCGACCACCGUGUAUUCAGACUAGCCGAAAAUUUAUGCAUGAAUCUCAUUUUAUCACUCAGAGACUUCUUUUCUGUAAAACGUGAUCAAAAAGUAAGUGCGUGUGUGUGUGUUUUUUUUUUAAUUUGGUGUCAGGAUUAAUAAUUGUUCUUAUGUUACCUAUCACUAGGGGCCAACUGACUUCACCGAAACACUAAGCCGCAUAACCAUCAUGACUCUAGCCAUCACAAUCAAAACACGUGGCAUCGCAGAUGCUGAUCACCUGGUUUAUCUGCAAACCAUGUUGGAACAAGUCCUGGCGACGAGUCAGCAUACCUGGUCCGAGAAGACGCUUCGCCAUUUCCCAUCUCUUCUCCGUGACGCUUUGAUCGGACGGGUAGACAAGAGGGGCCUAUCGAUUCAGGCGUGGCAACAGGCUGAAACAACUGUGUUGAACCAGUGCACACAGCUUCUCUCGCCUGCUGCUGAACCCUCUUACGUUAUGACGUACCUCAGUCACAGUUUUCCUCAACAUCGUCAGUAUCUAUGUGCUGGUGCUUGUCUGCUUAUGCAAGGCAACCCUGAUAAGAUCAACAGCGCAAAUCUGGUUUGUUUUGCUUACUCUCUCUAUCAUGCUUCUAAAAAUCCUUUUCAAGGUAUCAACUCGGUUCUAGCCGAAACGAUUUUAUUAAACUCCGAUUUAUAUGCUUCAAAUCGGUUUAUAUAGGUUAAAAUUGAUCUAAAUUAGUCGAAAUCUGUUAAAUUAAGCUGUUAGUACAAAUCCACAAAUUUAUCUUUUUUUGUACAUUGAAUUUUGAUAAUUCAUCAUAGUUAUUUUAUAACUAAACUCAAAAACUAAAAUAUCUUAUAUAAAUGUAAUAUAUAUAUAUAUAACAAAUCAAUAAUAUGUUAAGGUCUAGGAGUCCCCGAAUAGUUUGCCUAGGCACUAGUCCUAGCAAUUUUUUGAACCUUGGUCUCUAUUCAAACUUGUGAACAGAUUUUUAUUUGAUAGUGGUAUGAUUUUCUCUUUGAAACGAUUACCAGGCACGGGUGCUGAGAGAGGUUACUCCUGACGAAGUCACUGCUAACAUAUACACUUUCGUGGAUGUCUUGCUUCACAACGUUCAUGUAGACCUUCAGCGAGGACACGGUUUAGAGGUUCUUCUUCUCUUUGUCUGAAAAGAUCGACCUCACUUUUUGUUCCUUCUUGUUAAAUUUUAUCCUAAUAUUUUGUUUCUCAGGAGAUUCUAAACAAGAACGAUGCAAAUCUUGCAUUUUUCUUCUGGACACAUGAAAUGCUUCCUCUCGACAUUUUUCUUCUAGCGCUCAUUGACCGUGAUGAUGAUCCGCACGCCUUGAUAAUUGCAGUAUGUUCCUCAUGCUUUUACCUGAAAUAAGCGUAAAGAUCAUAUUAAAGUUUACAGAUUUCUUUUCUUUUUUCCUACAGAAAAGGAUACUCGAAAGGCCAGAGCUUCUACAGAGGAUUAAUGUGUUCUGCGUAAACCGUGGGAAUCCUGAGCACUGGCUUUGCACGCAGGUGUUCAAACGCAAUGAACUCCAAAAGGCCCUUGGUAACCAUCUUUCUUGGAAGGACAACUGGUAAUGAUGUGUCUUAGACCAUUUUCAUGAGAACUUGGCAAACUUGUGUGUGGCAUUUUUCUGCUUUUUUUUUGGCUAUUUUGUGUCGCACUCUGUUAAAAUUUGGGAUUGUUUUGAUUGCUAGGUAUCCAACGUUCUUUGAUGAUAUUGCGGCACGUUUGCUUCCAGUUAUCCCACUAGUGGUGUACAGGCUCAUCGAGAACAAUGCGAUGGAUACAGCUGAUAAAAUUUUGACUGCAUACUCGAAUUUUCUGGCGUACCAUCCUUUCAGAUUCACGUUUGUCCGUGAUAUACUCGCCUAUUUCUAUGGUCAUCUCCCCGGGCAGCUUGUUGUGAAGAUUCUUAGAGUGCUUGGUCUCAGCAAGGUAAUUGAAAAACACCACCAAUCUUUCUUUGAUUCUGAAAAUCAUUGAGAAAUCAUUUUCCAUUUUUCACUGCAGAUUCCAUUCUCUGAAUCAUUCCCGCAGUACAUCACACACACCGGUCCUGCCACGUGCCCACCUUUGGAUUACUUUGCCAACCUCCUACUUAACCUCGUAAACUACGUUAUACCUCCACUCAGCAGCAGCAGCAGCCACUGUAGCUCAAGGUCUGGCUCAAUGGCCGACAUCUUAAACACCUCAUCGAGACCUCCUCACGGUAAAACACCAGGAGCAUCCCAGCCCGGACCAGCAAACGCCUCCGAGGGACAGAAAGCAUUCUACCUCAUGCUUUUACCUGAAAUAAGCGUAAAGAUCAUAUUAAAGUUUACAGAUUUCUUUUCUUUUUUCCUACAGAAAAGGAUACUCGAAAGGCCAGAGCUUCUACAGAGGAUUAAUGUGUUCUGCGUAAACCGUGGGAAUCCUGAGCACUGGCUUUGCACGCAGGUGUUCAAACGCAAUGAACUCCAAAAGGCCCUUGGUAACCAUCUUUCUUGGAAGGACAACUGGUAAUGAUGUGUCUUAGACCAUUUUCAUGAGAACUUGGCAAACUUGUGUGUGGCAUUUUUCUGCUUUUUUUUUGGCUAUUUUGUGUCGCACUCUGUUAAAAUUUGGGAUUGUUUUGAUUGCUAGGUAUCCAACGUUCUUUGAUGAUAUUGCGGCACGUUUGCUUCCAGUUAUCCCACUAGUGGUGUACAGGCUCAUCGAGAACAAUGCGAUGGAUACAGCUGAUAAAAUUUUGACUGCAUACUCGAAUUUUCUGGCGUACCAUCCUUUCAGAUUCACGUUUGUCCGUGAUAUACUCGCCUAUUUCUAUGGUCAUCUCCCCGGGCAGCUUGUUGUGAAGAUUCUUAGAGUGCUUGGUCUCAGCAAGGUAAUUGAAAAACACCACCAAUCUUUCUUUGAUUCUGAAAAUCAUUGAGAAAUCAUUUUCCAUUUUUCACUGCAGAUUCCAUUCUCUGAAUCAUUCCCGCAGUACAUCACACACACCGGUCCUGCCACGUGCCCACCUUUGGAUUACUUUGCCAACCUCCUACUUAACCUCGUAAACUACGUUAUACCUCCACUCAGCAGCAGCAGCAGCCACUGUAGCUCAAGGUCUGGCUCAAUGGCCGACAUCUUAAACACCUCAUCGAGACCUCCUCACGGUAAAACACCAGGAGCAUCCCAGCCCGGACCAGCAAACGCCUCCGAGGGACAGAAAGCAUUCUACCAGAUCCAGGACCCAGGAACCUACACUCAACUGGUUCUCGAAACAGCCGUGAUCGAGAUCCUCUCUCUACCCGUCUCCCCCGCUCAGAUCAUCUCUUCUCUUGUCCAGAUCAUCGUCAACAUUCAGUCCACACUUAUUCAUUCUGGCAACGGCUUCCACGGCGCUGCAAACGGGGUUGGGCAGGGCUCGUCAGUACUGCCUACGUCUCCCUCGGGAGGGAGCACGGACUCCAUGAGCGCGAGCCGGUCCAGCUGUAUGAACACGGCGAGCUUUGUCUCUAGAAGCGGUUAUACGUGCCAGCAGCUGUCGUGUCUGUUGAUUCAAGCUUGCGGGCUUCUCUUGGCGCAGCUCCCUCCGGAGUUUCACACGCAGCUUUACGUUGAGGCUUCGCGUGUGACGAGGGAGACAUGGUGGCUUAGCGACGGGAAGAGAUCGCAAGGUGAAGUGGACUCUGCUGUUGGCUAUGCUCUGAUGGAUCCUACAUGGGCUGCUCAGGAUAACACCUCCACCGCCAUAGGUAACAACACUAUAUAGCUUCUGAAUCCUUAGGUGAAUGGUUCUUUGUAUUUUUUGAACAUGUUAGAUUGUUGUGUGUGCUUCCAGGAAAUGUAGUCGCCUUGCUUCAUGCUUUCUUCAGCAAUCUCCCACAAGAAUGGCUUGAUGGCACCCAUCUCAUCAUCAAGAACCUCCGGCCUGUGACAUCUGUCGCAAUGCUCAGAGUCGCGUUCCGUAUAAUGGGGCCACUUCUCCCGAGGCUUGCUAACACACAUGCACUCUUUAACAAGGUACUCUAAUGAACCUCUGACUAUAUGUUUCUUUAUUGUCAAAUUUUUUUACUUUGUUAUUCUUUUCUGCUCCUCAACAGACUCUAGCCCUUCUCCUGAGCACAUUCGUCUAUAUAUGCAGCUGCUCAUCAGAAUACCGCGAAGACCAACACCUCUUAGAAAAAAUAAGAUCAGAUAAUAUUGGUUGUAUGACUUGUAUCAGUGGUGGAUGCAAAGUUGGUAGAGCGAUAGAAAGAAGCACCGAAGCUGAUACAUCUAGCAACUUAUUCACUGGUAAAUUUGGUUUGUGGUCACAACUAAUUUUAUGUGUACCUGUAUAUUAUUAUCAAUGAUAACGUUUUGUUUAUCAUUGAAGCAUAAGGAUGAGAAAGUGCAAGUCCACAACUAUUCUAAUGUCACUUUCCUUUUAAUAGUACAGAUAGCAACCAUUUCUUCAGUACACGGUACUAUCAAUUAGAACCUAUUUACUCAAACUUCCUAUUUAUUAACUAACAAAAGCAAAAACUAGCUCCCUUUUUCACAACAAUUAAAGCAUCCAAGCAGAGGAUACUGUUAAAUUUACACCAGUUAAUAGAACAACUUAAGAACUCGUACACGAAUUGAGAAUUAAGAAGAGAGUAAGUUUAUUAGGAUCAUUAUCACCUGUUUUUGGUGGACAUAUAUAUAUAUAAUCUCAAACAACACUAUAACAUUAAGUUGCAGGCAAUUUCCAAAAGCUUCAAAUGAUGUUUUAUAUACAUUGUCCUUUAUAUUAAUACAAAUUGUUGACAGCCUCAACCUCUCUCUUCACAUCACACAGCAUUUAGCUGGUCCCUUUGGAUCUGCCCUAGCUUCCUCGGUACCUGGAUAAAAAAAAGACUUUGAUUAGAAGCCUAUUGGUCCUAAGACUUAUCAUAAGCAAACACACACAAUCCAAUAAAAAAACAGCUAUUGUCAAAGUUUGUCUUUAUCAUAGAAGGAUUGUAAACCGAGUUUGGUUCUGCUAAUAUAGAAAUUACUUGCCUUCCGGGGGCUGAGCUAACUUCCGGUUAUGAGAAGUCAUCAUUUCUUUUUUCAGUUUAACCAGAAUGUCCUCCAUUGUGUAUUCUCGCCGCCAGUUAGUGAGCAUAGGGAAGAGACUCGGUUCAACCUGAGAUCAUACAAUUCCUUGUUAUAAUAAACUGAUACACAUAUACAUAAAAAACCAACAAUAUUCCACUCAUGAGAUGUCACAGAGCUUACCACUCCAGUCUCAGGGUUAACGCAGGCCAUGUUUAUCCUGGUCUGGAACUUCACACUUGGUGGACUUUCUGGGUACUCCUUACCACAGAACAACUUCAGCUGGAAGAUCUUCCCUUCGUAUGCAGUCUGAUAUUUAGUCAUAUCACCAAACAAACAUCAUCACAAUCUUCUCAAAACCAAAACAAUUUAUUUCUUUAUUUCUGUCCACCCCUCAAAAGUGGUAAGAAAAUGUAGCUGAAAUAACCAUCUGGAGUAAAGCGGCGUAAACUAAAAUUAAUGGAUCAUUUGCAGUAAAAGGUAAUUACUUUAGGGCACAAGGAUAUUACCCAAAACAUAGGGACAAAAAAAGACAUGAUUUUUAUUUUGUUUAGAGCACUUAAAAGCUUAUCUUCUACAAGUUAUUUAAACUUUGCAUGUUAAUCACUCAAACAAAGAGAAUGUAAACAAGCUAAUUACUUUAGGGCACAGAGACAUUACCCGAGAACAUGAUUUUUAAUUUUGUUAGAACAGUAAAAAAGCUUAUAUUGUUAAUUCAGACAGAGAAUGUAAAACAAGGGUUGUGAGGAGAAUACAUUAUGAGGGCCGAGAAUGGUGCCAGUCCAGGAUUGCAUAUAGAUAUCAUCAGCGUCGUCCAUUCCAUAGCUCACCGUACCAUCUCCGAUACCUUUCUCACCUCUCUCUAGCUCUUCCAACAAUCUAAAGUUCCUUGGCACUACAAAAACAAAAUUAAUUAGAAAACUUUUUUUUUUGCCUAACCAAUUUUUUUCCAGAUCAGAAACGUGGAUCCGGUCACAUUCUGUUGAUUAGGAAACCCUAGAUCCCAAAUUCAAUAGCAAUGAUUAAAAUAGAAGGGAAACGGAUCGGACAUACCAACGACUUUGGCUUCCUCCGAGCUCAUCGUAGACGGAAUCGAGAUAAGAUGAUAAGGCAAAGGAACAAUCAGAGAGAGAGAGAGAGAGAGAGUUGGAGUUUAGAAGAGAAAAGAUUGGAAGAGGUGAAAAGUUUCUGGUAGAGGGGACUCCAAUUAUUACCCGGAUCCAGGAUCCGCUUCCAUAACACUCGGAUCUACCACUGUAGAAUUUUAAAUUUAAUUUAUUUAAUUUUGGGUAUCCAUGAUCAAAUUUAUAAGUAUUUAUACAUAAAAUAACUUCUAAAACAACUUUAUUAUUUUAUUAUAUUUUAAAUUUUAUUUUAUUCGUGUUAGUAUUAUUUUCUUUAUUUUUUAAUUUUUUUAAUAAAUUUCGAUUUGAAUAUUCACAAAUAUUUCAAUGUUUGAUAUCCAAAUUUUAAAUAUUCACGAAACAAUAGAUUUAUAUUGGGAUAAUUAAAACAUGGAUCCAAAUAGAGGUUUGAAUAACAUCAAAUGUAUGAAAAUGUAUUUUCAUCUAUGCUCCAACUUGACAUGUAGAGUCAAAACUUUCAUUGCAGCAAUAUUAUUCUUGUAUUAAGACUAUGGCAGAAAGUGUUCCAGCUACCUUGUAGAAAAUUAACAUCUUAUGUAUAAAGUUAGGUUUGCUUCCCUCCUAUGCUGUUCACGUAGGCGGAUACGUCACUAAUUCGAGUCUUGAGAAGCCGAUACGUAUCCGCGUCAAAAACGCGGCGUUUCAUUAACUUGGAGUUGGAGAUCGUGUGAGCUUUUGGUGUAACUCAUAAACAUGCAUGAAUAUUUUCGUGUGGACUUUAGAUCAAAUUAAAAUAAUAAAUUUAACAGUAUACUUUUAUAUUUUAGUAAACAAACAAUGUCAUGUUAUUCGUCUUAUGAAUACAUCAUAAAAACAGCUCUUAUGAUAUUGUUGAUAUUCAAUCCGAUGAUAUACCGGUAUGACAAAUUAAUGUAAAUCAACAUAACCGAGUACCAUGAUUUUAAUUAGAUUUACAUGUGUUGAAAAUACAAUAAAAUGUUUUUAUUUAUUUUAAUGUGUAAAAUAGCCCGUAAAAACCAAAAAAAACUAGAUGAACCAAUAGGUUUAUAGUAUAUUAGUGAACGUAUAUAUAAAAUGUAUAAUAUUAUAUAGUGAAUUCAAAAUUGAAUUUACUAAUUUGAUAUACAUAUACUUAGCAUUUAACAUAUAAAUAAUGUCUUACAAAAAAAAACAUAGGAAUACUUAUUUGCCUUGCCCAUUUACAUCAAUUUAUUUUUGAAGGUCCAUGAUUUCACGAUAAAUAGUGCUCCUAUAAUUAUUUGCUUUACCAAUUUACAUCAAUUUAUUUUUUAAGGUCCAUGAUUUCACGAUAAAUAGUGCUCCUAACUUCUUCUUUUAUUUUUUUUCAAACAUAUUAUUAUAUAUUACUCCUACUUAGCUAUUUGAAUAAACAAACAUUCUGAUAUUUGAUAAUUUUGAACAUUCUCUUCGUACGGUAAACGGUUUUAUUUCAAAGUAUUAAUACACCAAUGCAAAAAUAUAUUUUACAAGAUAAUUACACGCAUCUGCAGCAUAAACUCUUUGUUAGAUACAAUCAUGAAUUCUAUAAAAAAUGUCCAUGCAAUAUUAUCAUUUAAUUUAAAUAUAUUGUUAAUUCAUAAUGCAAGUUUCCACAGUAUUAAUAACUUCUAAAUUAAUAAUAAAACCUAUCUAAUAAAUUCUAAACUUAUUUAAUAACGAUAGAACAUAUUCAAUUUAAAGAGUAGCAGGGAAGUUGAAGUAUGAUUUUCAUUAGGAGAAAACUAUCACAUUUUAAUUAAAAUAUACACAAACCAAACUACUCACACUAAUAAAAUGUUGUUUUGGCUUAGAUAAUAUAAGCUUUUUCUUAACAUAAUUAUCUGGUAUGAUCAUUGCAUAAUUAUAUGCAGACAUCAUUAAUCUUAUUAUAUUAUAUUAUUCGUCGUAGAAUAAUGAAAUUUACUGUCAUUUUAAUUCAGUCAAAAAUAUUUAUUAAAAAUAACAACAUGAUCUCCGAGUUUUAUAUAUUUAUUUUCGUUUAUAAUAUCGUUUUCAAUCUGCAAUUUUUUUUUAAAAUGCUUCAUAAAAUUAAUGUAAAUUCAUAUAAAAUAGUUUUUUUCUAACUUUCCGCCCGUAGGGCGAGCUGACCCUAGUCGUUUCUUAAAAAAGUAUAAAUAGUUAACCAAAUGUGAAAUCUUAUGGAAAUAUUUGUAUGGAAGUGGGGGUAUUCCAGACUGCGAACUGAUAGACAAUGGAUUUGACUCAUUUUCAUCCAUAGUUUAUAGGUAUUUUUACUAAUAUUUAUAUUAUUAUAGAGUCUAUUUAUUAUAUUUAUAAGAUCAUGAAUUUUUUGGAUAUAAGUGAUGAUUUUGGAGCAUUUUGGAGAUAUUUGGAGUAAGCACCCGAAAUGACCAUCGAGAUCGACAAUCAGUAGACAUUGGAGAGCUAGAAUCGAUCGAUACACAAGUCAUGGUGUCGAUCGAUAUCAAAGCGCGCAGAAAACCCGUUUGGUCACAGCCGACUUGAAGCCCAAGAUUUCACUAUUUUACAAAAUUGCCCUUGACGAGUUUUACCCUAAUUAUAUAAGCUUUGCCGCCAUGUCAGAGGCAAAGUGUACUUUCUUUGUGUUUCAUUGUUUUAUUGAUAGAUAGGAGAGAAGAUCCAAAGUUAUAAUUUGUGAUUGGAACUCCAUUGAUAUUUAUCUUAUUUAUUCUAUGAAGUUUUUAUACUUAAGUGUUGUUAUGAAUUGCUUAGUCAUGUCUGAAUAGUUCACUUGUUAGAUUUUAGGGUUUAAGUAGGUUAGGAGGGAUUGGCCCCAACUAUAAAUUGCUGAGUUGUGAUAAUCAUUUUUAGAAUUGUUCAUUAAUGCAUGUGUCUAGAUUAGCUUCCUAGAACUUGCCCUGGGAUUGAUUGAUAAAAACCAUAGCUAAUUCUCAUCCUGAAAACAUUCUAAAUGAACUUUGUUUCUUGCUAUGAGCAAGGCGAGAGCUGAUCUAGUAAGCUUAGUAAGCAUUCAUUCAACCUACGCAUAAAGCUUGACUAGAGCGCGUCGAUCAAUAUCACACUUGAAUAAUCGAUCGACGGUGCAAAAGGUGUAUCGAUCGAUACGCCCAUUUGGAAUAUCGAUCGACACUUUCUAUAGAUCAAUAUAACAAGAGUUGAGAUCAUAGAUCUAGUUAAUAGUCAACAAGUCAAUGCUCGCAAAGGCUGAAAGACUUGUUGAUCAAAUAGUUGGCUUUACAUUAUCAAGCGUGCAACUCAUUAGGCAUCUAUAGGAUUAUAAUUCCAACUUUCCUAAAUAAAAACUCUAAGUCUAGCUAUUUCCAUUUUAGCACCAAAACCCCAAAACUUGCUAAUGAACAAAUACUUGUUCAAUAUAAAACUGCAAUUUACUUUUAAAACUCUUAAAACAUCUUGCUUAACAAAUCAUAUUAGAAUCUCUAGGUUCCCUAGCUCCCUGUGAAUUCGAUCCCUAAGUAUUACAACUCGACCUCUUAUUUGAGAGAAUAUAAAUCACUCCUUUGGGUAAUUUGAGUGGUAUCAAAUUUGGCGCCGUUGCCGGGGAGCUUUGAUCGCAUGUUUUCUAAUUUUUGUUAAGUAUUCUGACAUAAAAUUUUUUCUUGGAUUUUUAGGUGCAUGCCCAACAGUACCAGAAGCAACAAGAAAUCCCAACUGAUAUUCUCACCAGAUCCUGCAAGUUUGGAACACACGAUCCGUAAGGACGCACGCUCCCUAUCGACCGACAACAACACUUUCGUGUCGCUCAAUUCUGCUCAACCACCGUCGACCCUCAAAGCGCGCAGAAAACCCGUUUGGUCACAGCCGACUUGAAGCCCAAGAUUUCACUAUUUUACAAAAUUGCCCUUGACGAGUUUUACCCUAAUUAUAUAAGCUUUGCCGCCAUGUCAGAGGCAAAGUGUACUUUCUUUGUGUUUCAUUGUUUUAUUGAUAGAUAGGAGAGAAGAUCCAAAGUUAUAAUUUGUGAUUGGAACUCCAUUGAUAUUUAUCUUAUUUAUUCUAUGAAGUUUUUAUACUUAAGUGUUGUUAUGAAUUGCUUAGUCAUGUCUGAAUAGUUCACUUGUUAGAUUUUAGGGUUUAAGUAGGUUAGGAGGGAUUGGCCCCAACUAUAAAUUGCUGAGUUGUGAUAAUCAUUUUUAGAAUUGUUCAUUAAUGCAUGUGUCUAGAUUAGCUUCCUAGAACUUGCCCUGGGAUUGAUUGAUAAAAACCAUAGCUAAUUCUCAUCCUGAAAACAUUCUAAAUGAACUUUGUUUCUUGCUAUGAGCAAGGCGAGAGCUGAUCUAGUAAGCUUAGUAAGCAUUCAUUCAACCUACGCAUAAAGCUUGACUAGAGCGCGUCGAUCAAUAUCACACUUGAAUAAUCGAUCGACGGUGCAAAAGGUGUAUCGAUCGAUACGCCCAUUUGGAAUAUCGAUCGACACUUUCUAUAGAUCAAUAUAACAAGAGUUGAGAUCAUAGAUCUAGUUAAUAGUCAACAAGUCAAUGCUCGCAAAGGCUGAAAGACUUGUUGAUCAAAUAGUUGGCUUUACAUUAUCAAGCGUGCAACUCAUUAGGCAUCUAUAGGAUUAUAAUUCCAACUUUCCUAAAUAAAAACUCUAAGUCUAGCUAUUUCCAUUUUAGCACCAAAACCCCAAAACUUGCUAAUGAACAAAUACUUGUUCAAUAUAAAACUGCAAUUUACUUUUAAAACUCUUAAAACAUCUUGCUUAACAAAUCAUAUUAGAAUCUCUAGGUUCCCUAGCUCCCUGUGAAUUCGAUCCCUAAGUAUUACAACUCGACCUCUUAUUUGAGAGAAUAUAAAUCACUCCUUUGGGUAAUUUGAGUGGUAUCAAAUUUGGCGCCGUUGCCGGGGAGCUUUGAUCGCAUGUUUUCUAAUUUUUGUUAAGUAUUCUGACAUAAAAUUUUUUCUUGGAUUUUUAGGUGCAUGCCCAACAGUACCAGAAGCAACAAGAAAUCCCAACUGAUAUUCUCACCAGAUCCUGCAAGUUUGGAACACACGAUCCGUAAGGACGCACGCUCCCUAUCGACCGACAACAACACUUUCGUGUCGCUCAAUUCUGCUCAACCACCGUCGACCCAGACACCAGUUCCGUCGACCGAUUCUCGCUCACCCCUGUCGAUCGGCAACACAAACCUUCCGUCUACCGAUACCCUCCACCCGACAUCGAUCGACAUUCCGUCUCAGAGAUCGAUCGAUACUGAACUGCGAGCAAUGGUUGCGCCUUUGAUACUUGUUCGGGACAACAAUGGAGAUCUGCAUGACCAGGAGGGUCAUCUACGUAAUGCAGCAGGUCAGAGAAUAGACGCUUAGGGGGCUGCAAUCCCUGAGCCUGAUGCUACUACUACAAGUACUACCUUACCUGUAGAUGAGGCUGCGCAACCCAGGACGUUGGCUGAUUACAACCAUCCAGAUCGCUACUACACCAACAGAUCAGCCAUCCUUCUUCCCACCAUUGAGAGGGAUUUUGAGUUGAAGGCGCAAUACUACACACUUGUGGGACAGUUGCCCUACCAUGGACUAUCCUACGAGCAUCCUAUGGACCAUCUGGAGAGGUUCGAGGAUCUGAUUUAUGCUAUUAGAGUCGAGGGAGUCUCUGAGGACUACCUAUUAUGCAAGCUUUUUAGAUAUUCACUUGCUAGAGAAGCUCUGCAUUGGCUCAAGCAGUUACAACAAGGAUCUCUUAAAUCCUGGAGCGACAUCAAGAAUGCAUUCUUAUGCAAUUUCUUUGAUGAGGCGUGUGCUGAAGACUUGAGAAGCAAGAUUGCUACAUUCACUCAGAAGCCUACAGAAUCAUUCAUAGGCCCUUGGAUCAGAUUCAAGUCUUACCAGAGAGACUGUCCACACCACAGAUUCAAUGAAGUACAACUACUCAGUACUUUCUACAGAGGCAUCGCGGUGCAAUACCAGAUGGCUCUUGAUGCUUCCAGCAAUGGAAACUUCAACACCAGGAAUCCAGAGGAGGUAGUCAAGGUGAUUGAAAACCUAGCAUCCAGCAAAAGCACCAAGAACACUGAUUUUGAGAGGAAGAGAUCUGCCACCAUCCUUGGGAAUGAUCAGAUGGAUGAGGUGAAGGCAAAACUGGACAGUGUUCACAAGCUUAUCAAAAAGCAGGUUAGCUUUGUUGAAGAUGCAGAAGCUGUAGAGGGUAGAACAGAUGAAGAAGAAGUAAACUACAUUUGUGGAGCUAGAUUCCAAGGAAACCAUGGAGGAAACAGAAACUCCUAUGGAAAUAGGAGUAACUUCAACCAAAAUUCACAAUACCAGAAACCCUACAACAACAGCUACAGCAAUAACAGAAAUUUUGGAAGUUCCUACUACCAGAAGCCACUGCCGCCUACUCAAGAGAACAAGAUUGAAGAGAUGCUCGAUAGGGUUCUUGAGGCACAACAUCGAAUGACAGUGGACUUCAAUAGGAAGAUAGAUUCUGUCUACACCAACCUGAACACAAAGUUUGAGACUUUGAGCUCUCAUGUGAAGAAGAUGGAGAUACAGGUGGUGCAGACAGGUGAUGCUAUUAGAAGGCAGGAAGCUUCAACAAGAGGAGUAGGGGAUGAUGUGAUGAAGCACCACGUGAAUGCCAUUAUUGAGGAUGACUUUUGGCAAGUGGUGAAGGAAGAGAAGCUGCAAGAAGGCGAUUUCGAGGUAGAAAGUUUGAUGAGUUUCGGCGGGUCACAUUGGUGUCGAUCGACACCAGCCACCGAGCAUCGAUCGACAUACACCAACUCAAAUCGAUCGACAGGAGUACCAGAGCAUCGAUCGACAACGCCUACGGAGUCAACCGCGUCUUGCAAUGCCGUGAAGAUUCUAACUCACGAGGAGUUCGCAGCAAAACACCCACAUCCGCCCAGCCCUGACAAAGUCCGAAUCGAUCGACAUGCCAACAACAACGUCGAUCGACACUCAGAAGCUAUUAUCGAUCGACAACCAUCACCGCCUAUUGAUUGACGAGCCCCUAUCACCUACCGAGUGCAGAUGCCGAAGAUAGAUGUGGCACGACUUAACGCACUCAGGCCCAAACCUAAACCUUCAAAACAACCACCGGAGCUUGUCAGGACACCUUCAGAUGAUGGAGAUGAUCCUAUGAAAGAGGAUAGGGUUUCUAAUUGAAGCACCCUAAGGAGAAGAAAGGAAAAAGUGGCAAAACAUCUGAAGAGGGGGGCUAAUGAAAAGGAAAAGGAAAAUUUCCAAAAGAGAGUCUUCAGGAUUCCUCUACAUAAACCAUUCGAAGAAGCUUAUUACAGCCACAGAUUGUGGAUGUUCUUCAGAGAAACCAGAGAGAAAGAAGAAGACAUUAGGAGAAUGUUCUGUGAAGCCAGAGAAAAGAUGAGGAGAAAUAUUACAUUGAAGAAGAAGAGUGAUCCUGGGUAAUUUGCAAUACCAUGCACAGUGCAGGGUAUUGAAUUCCCACAUGCCUUGUGCGACACAAGAGCAUCAGUCAGCAUCCUACCUAGGUUAUGGCAGACCAUCUGGGUCUGCAGGUGGAGCCUUCGCAAGAAUUGUUUACUUUUGUGGAUUGUUCCCAGAAGAACUCAGGAGGAAUUGUGAGAGACCUAGAGGUGCAGAUUGGUAAUGCCCUAGUUCCAGUUGAUUUCCAUGUCUUGGACAUCAAGUUAAACUGGAACUCUUCUCUACUACUUGGGAGAGCCUUCUUGUCAACAGUGGGAGCAGUGUGUAACUUGCAAACCAAUCAGUUGUGUCUAACACUCAUCGAUCCUAAUGCCCACUACGACCCUAUCCAAUCAAGAAGCCACAGGCGAUCUCCAGAAGAAUCAAUGAUCCAGGAAUCAUUGCAACUUGCCACUGUGGAGAUGAGUACGAAACUGAAUAUUCAGAAUCGAUCAAGACUCACACAGCAACAUCGAUCGAUAGUGGUCACAAGAAAUCGACCGACACUGCCGCCUAUCCAUCGAUCGACACUGACUUCAACCGUGUGCGAGAAGGAGACUACUCAAUUGGUAGUUGGGCAGAUGAACACCAUCACGAGAGCUUUGCAGUAGAAACAAUAACCUACACAACAGGAGCAGAUAAACUACAAGAUAGUUUCAUAGACGAGUAGAUGCUCAACAUGCAAAAGCGCGAUGAUACAGAUCAGUUUCCAGCAAAAGCUGCUUGGGAAAGAACUCGUUCUAGUCAAUCGAUUGACACUCGUCAUCCAAAAUCGAUCGACAAGAUUCCUCAACAAUCGACCGACAUCAACAAUACCACGUCGAUCGACAACCAUCCAAUACCGAAAACCAAUGAAAGCGAAAAAGAUAAAUCAGAUAACCAGUAUAUAACUCCAGACGAAUUUGGUAUUUUCAGGGACCCUAAUGGCUACGCAAAAGCCAUAGACGGCCGCACACUACACGUAUCUAGGGAAGAUAUUGCAGAUAUCCUUCAGACAACCAAUGGACCAGACAAUUUGUUCAUGCAUCCACGCAGCAACCGCGAACAAAAGACUACAAAGGAGUUUUAUGACGCAGAUGGUGGCAUAGAAAACAACUUCAAACAACGAUCUCACCAUACAACCCAUCCAUCGAUCAACAUAGACGUCCCAACGGUCGCCAGACAGCCAAAAUUCGGCAAAAGAGCUUAUGACCUUUAUGGUAACAUGAAAUUUUACUGGGAAGAGAAAGAUGAGUAUGGAGUCUACAGAGAUGACCGCAAAUUUGCCAGAGAUCUAGAGGGACACACCAUUCCUGUUCACACCAAGGAUAUCAGAAGACUUCUUGAAAGAGCUUCAAGAGAUGAACCAGCCUACAUAUGUCUUCCUGAACAUGCUAGCUCAUUCACACAGACACAGUGGGUACCAGAGCUCUACACAAAAGAUGAGAUCAAUGAGAUGUUCUAUGGAGUCUGUGGUGAACAUGAGAAGAACAAAGAAGCCUUCCAGAUGAAGCUUGAUGGUGUCUACUAUCCAUUGAAUGAUAUUAUAAGUUGGUUAACUACUUGCAUGGAGGAGAUGAAGAAGGACAUAGCCAGAUUUCAGAACGCGACCGACACUGCUCGACCUCCAUCGAUCGACAGACGACACUCCCAAUCGAUCGAUAGCAGACAAUCACCAUCGCUCGCCAGACGCCAUCACGAAUCGAUCGACAACCGUUUGGCCGCAUUGAUCGACACCAAUCCGCCAUGCCCACACACGAUGAAGUCUUAACCAGAUUUCCACACCAGAGAAGAUAUAGACAGUUGGUAGAAGGGAUCUAUGGAGCGCUGGAAACUAUAGAGGAGAGGCUUGAUGGGAGAUGUGAUGACAUCUAUUUCCCAAUAGAUCUUACAAUCAGUGCAUUGACCUCCAAGGUCGAAGCUAUACAAGGGGAGUUGGUGGAGAUUCAGAGUUCCAUUGCGCGUCGACCGGAAGCAUCGAUAUCCAUCGACAGACGCAACAACAAAUCGAUUGACACCAUCAAUUCAGCAUCGAUCGACAUUGAUACACACCGAGGCAGGCUAGUACCAAAGACGACAUCCGACAUGUCCAACACACUUUACCAUGGAAAAGAGAUCUCAGCUGACACUUACACCGCACUUACCAGACAUCAAUUCAACCUUGAGAGUCUUGGUGAAAGAUUGCAGAGGAUUGAAAACACAUUUGCAUCAAUGAAGGAUAAAUGGCGCAGAGGGGAUGAAGCAAUGAGAGACUUCACUGGUACAUGGUUCAACAAGAGCAAAGAAGAGAUGGAUACUUGUUUUCCAACAAGUCCCAGUUCUCAACAUUACUAGUCAAAACAUCUCCCAAGUCAAGCUAAAUGACUAUAACAAAGCGCUGAGUGGGAGGCAACCCACUAUUAGGUAAUAUUUCUUAAGUUUUUAUUAAAUUACUAUUUAUGUUGGUUUUUAAUUAUUGCAGGUCAUAAAUAAAAAAACAAAAAGAAGAUCCGAGUAGGCGAUUGCCAUCUGUAUCGACCGACGCGACCAAGUCAACAUCGAUCGACAUUAACCUACCUACGUCGACCGACAUCAACAUCUUUACAUCGUUCGACAUCUAUUCUGGUCUGGUAUAUCGUUCCUACUUGUUACAUUGAGUCCUUAUGAUUUAUUUUUCACCAUAACUCCGACUAUUUACACUGGGGACAGUGUAGUUUAAGUCUAGGGGGAGGUUUACUGAUAUUUAUUUACUUAUUAGUCUUAUUAAAAAUCUUUUCAAAUUAAGUUAUUAUUGAGUCAAGAAGGGGGAUUAUGAACUUAUAGAUUUUGCUAGAUAUCUAACAACUCUUUAGCACCAUUCUAGACUUACUGAUUGCAGAUAGUACUAAUGAUACUAAAAUGGAUCAACUUGUCAACUAUCUACUCUUGCUAAGAUUGUUUUGAAGGAACCAAAGCUGACCUCCAACACUAAACCUGACACAACUGCUUGUCUUGGGGCUUGGUAUAUAUGGGAUCGGAUUCUUCAAACAAGUCUGGAUGGUAAAGCCUUGUGUAUAUAGAUUUAUCACCUUUUCUCUCUCUAUUUUUGAAAUAUAGAUUUUAUACUUAAAAAAAAAAUAUUAUAUUAGAGAUUUAUUAGGAAGGAAUUCGAACAGGACUUGGUGGUUACAACCAUUAAGGCUUGCUUCAUAAGAAUUUCAUAGGUAAAGGAUUAGAACAAGACUUGGUGGCUACAACCAUUAAAGCUUGCUUUACAAAUAAUCAUAGGAUAUAUGUCAAAAAGAAGUGAACCGGACUUUGUGGCAAUCACCAUUAAGGCUUGAUUCAUGGAAGCCUGUCCAAUCUUGGUUAAUGAUCUUGCAUAUAAGCAGACUUUGACCAAGAGAGAAAAUUAGUAGAUAGAGAGGAUAUUAACUAAUGUUUACCUGCAGGUCCAGAUACUUGUUUGAAAAUCCUAGAAUCAUGUGAUCGAUACUCCCAAGGUAAAGCCUUCACUUUUAUUUUAUGCUAAGAAAUGAGGUUGGUAGAGGAGAAUGAAAGACAAGAUUAUGUUAAGUUGUUGGCUAGAUGAAUUUGGUUGCUAAGCUAGGAUAUGGUAUGAUGUCAAGAGAACAAGAUUGAAGAGAUGCUCGAUAGGGUUCUUGAGGCACAACAUCGAAUGACAGUGGACUUCAAUAGGAAGAUAGAUUCUGUCUACACCAACCUGAACACAAAGUUUGAGACUUUGAGCUCUCAUGUGAAGAAGAUGGAGAUACAGGUGGUGCAGACAGGUGAUGCUAUUAGAAGGCAGGAAGCUUCAACAAGAGGAGUAGGGGAUGAUGUGAUGAAGCACCACGUGAAUGCCAUUAUUGAGGAUGACUUUUGGCAAGUGGUGAAGGAAGAGAAGCUGCAAGAAGGCGACUUCGAGGUAGAAAGUUUGAUGAGCUUCGGCGGGUCACAUUGGUGUCGAUCAACACCAGCCACCAAGCAUCGAUCGACAUACACCAACUCAAAUCGAUCGACGGGAGUACCAGAGCAUCGAUCGACAACGCCUACAGAGUAAACCGCAUUUUGCAAUGCCGUGAAGAUCCUAACUCACGAGGAGUUUGCAGCAAAACACCCACAUCCGCCCAGCCCUGACAAAGUCCGAAUCGAUCGACAUGCGAACAAUAACGUCGAUCGACACUCAGAAGCUAUUAUCGAUCGACAACCAUCACCGCCUAUUGAUUGACGAGCCCCUAUCACCUACCGAGUGCAGAUGCCGAAGAUAGAUGUGGCACGACUUAACGCACUCAGGCCCAAACCUAAACCUUCAAAACAACCACCGGAGCUUGUCAGGACACCUUCAGAUGAUGGAGAUGAUCCUAUGAAAGAGGAUAGGGUUUCUAAUUGAAGCACCCUAAGGAGAAGAAAGGAAAAAGUGGCAAAACAUCUGAAGAGGGGGGCUAAUGAAAAGGAAAAGGAAAAUUUCCAAAAGAGAGUCUUCAGGAUUCCUCUACAUAAACCAUUCGAAGAAGCUUAUUACAGCCACAGAUUGUGGAUGUUCUUCAGAGAAACCAGAGAGAAAGAAGAAGACAUUAGGAGAAUGUUCUGUGAAGCCAGAGAAAAGAUGAGGAGAAAUAUUACAUUGAAGAAGAAGAGUGAUCCUGGGUAAUUUGCAAUACCAUGCACAGUGCAGGGUAUUGAAUUCCCACAUGCCUUGUGCGACACAAGAGCAUCAGUCAGCAUCCUACCUAGGUUAUGGCAGACCAUCUGGGUCUGCAGGUGGAGCCUUCGCAAGAAUUGUUUACUUUUGUGGAUUGUUCCCAGAAGAACUCAGGAGGAAUUGUGAGAGACCUAGAGGUGCAGAUUGGUAAUGCCCUAGUUCCAGUUGAUUUCCAUGUCUUGGACAUCAAGUUAAACUGGAACUCUUCUCUACUACUUGGGAGAGCCUUCUUGUCAACAGUGGGAGCAGUGUGUAACUUGCAAACCAAUCAGUUGUGUCUAACACUCAUCGAUCCUAAUGCCCACUACGACCCUAUCCAAUCAAGAAGCCACAGGCGAUCUCCAGAAGAAUCAAUGAUCCAGGAAUCAUUGCAACUUGCCACUGUGGAGAUGAGUACGAAACUGAAUAUUCAGAAUCGAUCAAGACUCACACAGCAACAUCGAUCGAUAGUGGUCACAAGAAAUCGACCGACACUGCCGCCUAUCCAUCGAUCGACACUGACUUCAACCGUGUGCGAGAAGGAGACUACUCAAUUGGUAGUUGGGCAGAUGAACACCAUCACGAGAGCUUUGCAGUAGAAACAAUAACCUACACAACAGGAGCAGAUAAACUACAAGAUAGUUUCAUAGACGAGUAGAUGCUCAACAUGCAAAAGCGCGAUGAUACAGAUCAGUUUCCAGCAAAAGCUGCUUGGGAAAGAACUCGUUCUAGUCAAUCGAUUGACACUCGUCAUCCAAAAUCGAUCGACAAGAUUCCUCAACAAUCGACCGACAUCAACAAUACCACGUCGAUCGACAACCAUCCAAUACCGAAAACCAAUGAAAGCGAAAAAGAUAAAUCAGAUAACCAGUAUAUAACUCCAGACGAAUUUGGUAUUUUCAGGGACCCUAAUGGCUACGCAAAAGCCAUAGACGGCCGCACACUACACGUAUCUAGGGAAGAUAUUGCAGAUAUCCUUCAGACAACCAAUGGACCAGACAAUUUGUUCAUGCAUCCACGCAGCAACCGCGAACAAAAGACUACAAAGGAGUUUUAUGACGCAGAUGGUGGCAUAGAAAACAACUUCAAACAACGAUCUCACCAUACAACCCAUCCAUCGAUCAACAUAGACGUCCCAACGGUCGCCAGACAGCCAAAAUUCGGCAAAAGAGCUUAUGACCUUUAUGGUAACAUGAAAUUUUACUGGGAAGAGAAAGAUGAGUAUGGAGUCUACAGAGAUGACCGCAAAUUUGCCAGAGAUCUAGAGGGACACACCAUUCCUGUUCACACCAAGGAUAUCAGAAGACUUCUUGAAAGAGCUUCAAGAGAUGAACCAGCCUACAUAUGUCUUCCUGAACAUGCUAGCUCAUUCACACAGACACAGUGGGUACCAGAGCUCUACACAAAAGAUGAGAUCAAUGAGAUGUUCUAUGGAGUCUGUGGUGAACAUGAGAAGAACAAAGAAGCCUUCCAGAUGAAGCUUGAUGGUGUCUACUAUCCAUUGAAUGAUAUUAUAAGUUGGUUAACUACUUGCAUGGAGGAGAUGAAGAAGGACAUAGCCAGAUUUCAGAACGCGACCGACACUGCUCGACCUCCAUCGAUCGACAGACGACACUCCCAAUCGAUCGAUAGCAGACAAUCACCAUCGCUCGCCAGACGCCAUCACGAAUCGAUCGACAACCGUUUGGCCGCAUUGAUCGACACCAAUCCGCCAUGCCCACACACGAUGAAGUCUUAACCAGAUUUCCACACCAGAGAAGAUAUAGACAGUUGGUAGAAGGGAUCUAUGGAGCGCUGGAAACUAUAGAGGAGAGGCUUGAUGGGAGAUGUGAUGACAUCUAUUUCCCAAUAGAUCUUACAAUCAGUGCAUUGACCUCCAAGGUCGAAGCUAUACAAGGGGAGUUGGUGGAGAUUCAGAGUUCCAUUGCGCGUCGACCGGAAGCAUCGAUAUCCAUCGACAGACGCAACAACAAAUCGAUUGACACCAUCAAUUCAGCAUCGAUCGACAUUGAUACACACCGAGGCAGGCUAGUACCAAAGACGACAUCCGACAUGUCCAACACACUUUACCAUGGAAAAGAGAUCUCAGCUGACACUUACACCGCACUUACCAGACAUCAAUUCAACCUUGAGAGUCUUGGUGAAAGAUUGCAGAGGAUUGAAAACACAUUUGCAUCAAUGAAGGAUAAAUGGCGCAGAGGGGAUGAAGCAAUGAGAGACUUCACUGGUACAUGGUUCAACAAGAGCAAAGAAGAGAUGGAUACUUGUUUUCCAACAAGUCCCAGUUCUCAACAUUACUAGUCAAAACAUCUCCCAAGUCAAGCUAAAUGACUAUAACAAAGCGCUGAGUGGGAGGCAACCCACUAUUAGGUAAUAUUUCUUAAGUUUUUAUUAAAUUACUAUUUAUGUUGGUUUUUAAUUAUUGCAGGUCAUAAAUAAAAAAACAAAAAGAAGAUCCGAGUAGGCGAUUGCCAUCUGUAUCGACCGACGCGACCAAGUCAACAUCGAUCGACAUUAACCUACCUACGUCGACCGACAUCAACAUCUUUACAUCGUUCGACAUCUAUUCUGGUCUGGUAUAUCGUUCCUACUUGUUACAUUGAGUCCUUAUGAUUUAUUUUUCACCAUAACUCCGACUAUUUACACUGGGGACAGUGUAGUUUAAGUCUAGGGGGAGGUUUACUGAUAUUUAUUUACUUAUUAGUCUUAUUAAAAAUCUUUUCAAAUUAAGUUAUUAUUGAGUCAAGAAGGGGGAUUAUGAACUUAUAGAUUUUGCUAGAUAUCUAACAACUCUUUAGCACCAUUCUAGACUUACUGAUUGCAGAUAGUACUAAUGAUACUAAAAUGGAUCAACUUGUCAACUAUCUACUCUUGCUAAGAUUGUUUUGAAGGAACCAAAGCUGACCUCCAACACUAAACCUGACACAACUGCUUGUCUUGGGGCUUGGUAUAUAUGGGAUCGGAUUCUUCAAACAAGUCUGGAUGGUAAAGCCUUGUGUAUAUAGAUUUAUCACCUUUUCUCUCUCUAUUUUUGAAAUAUAGAUUUUAUACUUAAAAAAAAAAUAUUAUAUUAGAGAUUUAUUAGGAAGGAAUUCGAACAGGACUUGGUGGUUACAACCAUUAAGGCUUGCUUCAUAAGAAUUUCAUAGGUAAAGGAUUAGAACAAGACUUGGUGGCUACAACCAUUAAAGCUUGCUUUACAAAUAAUCAUAGGAUAUAUGUCAAAAAGAAGUGAACCGGACUUUGUGGCAAUCACCAUUAAGGCUUGAUUCAUGGAAGCCUGUCCAAUCUUGGUUAAUGAUCUUGCAUAUAAGCAGACUUUGACCAAGAGAGAAAAUUAGUAGAUAGAGAGGAUAUUAACUAAUGUUUACCUGCAGGUCCAGAUACUUGUUUGAAAAUCCUAGAAUCAUGUGAUCGAUACUCCCAAGGUAAAGCCUUCACUUUUAUUUUAUGCUAAGAAAUGAGGUUGGUAGAGGAGAAUGAAAGACAAGAUUAUGUUAAGUUGUUGGCUAGAUGAAUUUGGUUGCUAAGUUAGGAUAUGGUAUGAUGUGCUAUUGUGAUUAGGAUUUUUUAGAUGUGGAUUGCAAUAUUGUAGAGGUGAUGAUUCUAAGUUUUAAACCAUGUGAUCCCUGCUGUUCUAAAACCUCUUUCAGAGAGACUGCUUGUUUGUUUUGCUUGAGGAUAAGCAAAAUGAUAAGUCUGGGGGAGUUGAUAGACUAUGGAUUUGACUCAUUUUCAUCCAUAGUUUAUAAGUGUUUUUACUAAAAUUUAUAUUAUUAUAGAGUCUAUUUAUUAUAUUUAUAAGAUCAUGAAUGUUUUGGAGAUAAGUGAUGAUUUUGGAGCAUUUUGGAGAUAUUUGGAGCAAGCACCCGAGAUGACCAUCGAGAUCGACAAUCGGUCGAUAUUGGAGAGCUAGAAUCAAUCGAUACACAAGUCAUGGUGUCGAUCGAUAGCAAAGCGCGCAGAAAGCCCGUUUGGUCACAACCGACUUGAAGCCCAAGAUUUCACUAUUUUACAAGAUUGCCCCUGACGAGUUUUACCCUAAUUAUAUAAGCUUUGCCGCCAUGUUAGAGGCAAAGUGUGCUUUCUUUGUGUUUCAUUGUUUUCUUGAUAGAUAGGAGAAAAAUCCAAAGUUAUAAUUUGUGAUUGGAACUCCAUUGAUAUUUAUUUUAUUUAUUCUAUGAAGUUUUUAUACUUAACUGUUGUUAUGAAUUGCUUAGCCAUGUUUGAGUAGUUCUCUUGUUAUAUUUUAGGGUUUAAAUAGGUUAGAAGGGAUUAGCCCCAACUAUAGAUUGCAGAGUUGUGAUAAUCAUCUUUAGAAUUGUUCAUUAAUGUUUGUGUCUAGAUUAGCUACCCAGAACUUGCCCUAGGAUUGAUUGAUAAAAGCCAUAGCUAAUUCUCAUCCUGAAAACAUUCUAAAUGAACUUUGUUUCUUGCUAUGAGCAAGUUGAGAGCUGAUCUAGUAAGUUUAGAAAGCAUUCAUUCAACCUGCGCAUAAAGCUUGACUAUAACGCGUCGAUCGAUAUCACACUUGAAUAAUCGAUCGACGGUGCAAAAGGUGUAUCGAUCGAUGUUAGAGGCAAAGUGUGCUUUCUUUGUGUUUCAUUGUUUUCUUGAUAGAUAGGAGAAAAAUCCAAAGUUAUAAUUUGUGAUUGGAACUCCAUUGAUAUUUAUUUUAUUUAUUCUAUGAAGUUUUUAUACUUAACUGUUGUUAUGAAUUGCUUAGCCAUGUUUGAGUAGUUCUCUUGUUAUAUUUUAGGGUUUAAAUAGGUUAGAAGGGAUUAGCCCCAACUAUAGAUUGCAGAGUUGUGAUAAUCAUCUUUAGAAUUGUUCAUUAAUGUUUGUGUCUAGAUUAGCUACCCAGAACUUGCCCUAGGAUUGAUUGAUAAAAGCCAUAGCUAAUUCUCAUCCUGAAAACAUUCUAAAUGAACUUUGUUUCUUGCUAUGAGCAAGUUGAGAGCUGAUCUAGUAAGUUUAGAAAGCAUUCAUUCAACCUGCGCAUAAAGCUUGACUAUAACGCGUCGAUCGAUAUCACACUUGAAUAAUCGAUCGACGGUGCAAAAGGUGUAUCGAUCGAUCACGCCCAUUGGAAUAUCGAUCGACACUUUCUAAAGAUCAAUAUAACGAGAGUUGAGAUCAUAGAUCUAGUUAAUAGUCAACAAGUCAAUGCUCGCAGAGGCCGAAAGACUUGUUGAUCAAAUAGUUGAGUUUUACAUUAUCAUGCAUGCAACUCAUUAGGCAUCUAUAGGAUUAUAAUUCCAACUUUUCUGAAUAAAAACCAUAAGUCUAGCUAUUUCCUUUUUAAGCACCAAAACCCCAAAACUUGCUAUUGAACAAAUACUUGUUCAAUAUAAAACUGCAAUUCACUUUUAAAACUCUUAAAACAUUUUGCUUAACAAAUCAUAUUAGAAUCUAGAAGUUCCUUAACUCCCUGUGAAUUCGAUCCCUAAGUACUACAACUCGACCUCUUAUCUGAGAGAGUAUAAAUCACCGCAAUUUGAGUGAUAUCACGAACAUGUCAUUUUGUUAAUACAUAUCAUGCUAUUUAUUGAACUGUUCAACAAUUGAGUAUAGUUUCUCGUAACAAAGUAACCAACACAAGAACGCAAUAUCCUUAUAAAUAGAACUCGUAAGAAAACUACAACUAGUGAAAACUACUUUAACUAGAGAUAUUUUUUUUCAUUACAGUUUUUUUUUUUUCGUCUCAAAUCCGAACAUAUAAUCUUUUGUUUAUUUCAAAAUCAACAAACCAAAACUAAUAAAAGCCCAUAGAGCUCCGACUAUUUAACAAGUAUGAUUAUCAUUCUUCAGCAGUCAAUUAUACUCAGGGAUCAUACGAUUUGCUGCUGUUCUUGAUUGUGUUUUUUUUGUUGUUUGAUGAUGACGCUAUGCUUGGAGAAAAUAAGCAACCCAUGGCUCGUGAUGGUGCUAACUUGUCAAACCACGAAACUAACAACUUCGACUUUGGUUUCCGGUUUGACGGUUUUUCUUGGUCUGGUUCGGACGAUGAUGGCGGCAUUAAAUCAAUAGAGGCAGACGAAGCUGAGCUAGUUCUUGAUUUCUCUUUAGAAAGUAGCUUCACUGCUUGUGUUGUUGUUGUUGGCGGCGACAAAACCUUACCAUCUCGAGAUUUUACACUCUGGUCGCGUUUGAUACUUCCCGAGAAAACCCGAGUUCCGUCAACAGAUGAAACCAACGGACGAGAAUGCACACUCGGAACAUGUCUGAUUCUUCCGGAGAAGUUCCUUUUCUCAUCAACGGAAAAAGCAGAAGCAGAAAACGCGUUUACGUGAUUCUUCUCGGCCAUGCUCUUGGAGUGGAAGAGAAGCCUCUUGGACGAUGAAACCGGGUUGGGUUGUCGAGAAACCGGGAGAGAUUUGAGACGGCGGAAACGAGUUUCGAGAUUAGUGGGAAGAGCAGAAUCGGUGAAGCCAGCAAGGUUGAUGGCGGCGACUUGCUCAAGAUCGUAGAGAUCCUUGGCCUGUGAAAGAAGAUCCUCCACAGCUGAAGCGUCUUUACUAGAAAGAUAUCUGAAACUCGACAUUAUCGUUUUUUUCUUUUUUUUCUUUUUGCGAUUCUGUGAGGUUUUCUAAGAAGGAACGAUGAAUUAAGCUUCUUCUAAUACCCAGCACAACGGCUACUUCAUGCUUUUAUCGUUGCAUUUGUCCUUUUUCAUGCAUUUAUAAAAUGUUAAAUUUCCUUUUUUGUCCGCAAAAGAUAUGUUAAAUGUCCAUGUUCAUACGUUACAAGUUAAUGUACAUAUAAGUAUUUUUUUGCUACGUGGAAUUGUAAACUUUUAUCUCCGAAGAUUUCCCUUUGCUUUUUUAUCCUUUUACCCAAUUCCAAUAAUUGAUUUAUUAAGUUUAUACCUUUCCUCUUGCCAUAUACAUUAUACUUGCCUGUAUAAAUCCAUUUGCAUCCAAUAAAAUGUUUAUCUAAUGUCAAGUGUUCAACUAUCUAUGGUUUGUUUAGUUCAAGGCGUCUUUUUCCAGUUUUCUGUAACAAAUUCAAAACAAAAAGUUUAUCUUCAAAUAAAUGGUUUUGAUUUAAAUAUAAUAACAUAUUAGCUUUUACAAUAACUAGUACAAAACCAAAGACUAAACGUUCACCAUUUUUUAUGAAGAGUAUUAAAACUUUCAGUUUCUUCUCAAAGCUUCAGGCUUCGUAGGCAUUGCCUCAUGUCUCCAUCCUCUUGAUCAACCUGAAAGACGUUAAAAAAAAGAAGAUUUCGAAAAUCCUAGACAUUAAGUAUAUAUGCCCAACAUAUAAUAAUAGUACACACAUUUGCAGAGUUAAUUUUUGGGUUAGUGAAAACUAUGUGUGUUUAAUACAAAAUCAUGAUGGUUACAAUUUAAAAAUCACAAUAAACGCAAGAAAAAGAUGGAUGGAGAAAAAGACUUUUGAUACGAUACCGUUUUAGUUCACAUAUCAUUGGGCCUAAAAAUCCAUAAGGCCAAAGUUAUUAUCGUGCACAUUAAAAAGCCCAAAACACACAAAACAUUUCUUGCGAACCUCUUUUAUAAAACCCUAGCCGUUCAGUCCCUAUAAAAGCCGAACUCCAAACUUCUCAGGAAAAACCUAGCAGUAGAUCUAACGAAAUGGCGACGGCGUUGAAGAAGAACAGGAAGAAGAGGGGCCACGUCAGCGCCGGUCACGGACGUAUCGGGAAGCACCGCAAGCAUCCAGGAGGUCGCGGUAACGCGGGAGGUAUGCAUCACCACCGUAUCCUCUUCGACAAGUACCAUCCAGGUUACUUCGGAAAGGUGGGUAUGAGGUACUUCCACAAGCUCCGCAACAAGUUCUACUGCCCCAUUGUCAACCUCGACAAGCUCUGGUCUCUCGUCCCCGAGGAUGUGAAGGCGAAGUCCACCAAAGACAAGGUGCCGAUGAUCGAUGUGACGCAGCACGGGUUCUUUAAGGUUCUUGGGAAAGGUCAUUUGCCUGAGGGCAAGCCUUUCGUUGUGAAGGCUAAGCUUAUCUCCAAGACUGCUGAGAAGAAGAUCAAGGAGGCUGGUGGCGCCGUCGUGCUCACUGCUUAAGUUAGGUCGAGUUUCUUUUUUUUUUUUUUUAAUUUCUGUCUUUUGGAAUCGUUUUUGUUGGACUCAAAGUUUGUUGCUUUUUGGAAUGAGAGAUCUUUUAAUUAAUAUUAAUGGAUUUUAUAAUAGUCGUUCGGAGUUUGAUUGUGGUAUUGAUGUGUUUUUUUUCGAAUGUUUGGGAUAGAUUGUUCACUUGUUUCAUUGAGUUGUUGAUUUGAUUCAUGGACGCCCAUGGGGAAGACACUUGUGUUAGUUCAUUGCUUUCUAUGCAAGUUUUAACUUGUUUGGUCUUCAUAUAGUUUACAUGGAAAGGAUUGUUUUUUUUGGAUUUUUUGAAUUUAUUCUUCACUGGUUUCAUGGAUUUUCUUAGGGAUCAUUGCAUUGUAAAUUUCUGUGCUUUCCCGUUUCAUUUCCACGCUGAGGCUCAUUUCUCGUGCAGUCUUCUUCUGUGUCAGUUCCUUGCUUGCUGUCUUCUCAGUUGUGAAAUGAGUCAUUACAGACUGUAUUAGCUCAUUGUUUGCUAUGCAAGUUAGGUUGGUUUCGUCUUCAUAUAGAUCUUUGUAUGUGUAAACAUUAUUAGGUCGGUAUAAAUGGUGACGAAGUAACAACUGGUAAUAAUGCAUUCCCUAAUGUUCCUAAAAAAAAAUUUACCAUUCACAAGGAAUAAUAAUUUCCUCUCAUUCUUUUUUUUUUUAGAGAAUUGAACAAUAAAAUUAUUCCUAUUUAAAUUUGAGAAGGAACAAUCAUUUCUUUUCAUUGCUGCUAUUUUAUUUUUGUACAUUAUUUUUCUGUUUGUUUUUCUUGUUUUCCAAUGGUCACCAGUCAGAUGUUUCUUAGUGUCACAUUUUAUGUUAGAUUUUUAUAUAUAUAUAUUUUUUCCUAAUGAUGAUGAGAGGCACUCUGUUAAUAGCGAAACUACAAUGCUUCAAUGAUCCUACUUUGAUUGUUUUCAUCACCUCAAUAGUAUCACCUUCACGUUUUAUCUCAAUAUCAUCUCUGCGACAAUUAUCUUUAAGUACACACAAAAUUUCAGAUCCAGUCCUGGUUGUGUAAUGUACCUAACAGCAAGCCAAAUGCCACCAUGAUUCGCCAUCCGAGUAUGUUCACGCUGUAAUUAAACCAUUAGUUCUCUUAUUACCUGAAAUGAAAGCCCCAUAGGGACUACUAAGAACUCACCAUAUUUGAAGGAGCAGCCACAUAGACUUGAGGGUUCAUUGGGUAACACGCAAACAGUCAACGCCAUGAAGUACCAAACCUCUAGUCUGAAACCAAUAACAUAAGUCACUGAAACCCUUCAUCGAUGAACCAUUCUGAAAGGUUUUGAUAUCUCACCAAACCAUGACCGCAGAGGCAAGUUAGAGUUUUGUGAAGCCUCUGAGAUUCUUGAAAGCCUUCCAUUAGAGCCCUGACCAAGCUCUGCCACAAAAAGCUCCACAGAUAUAAACUAUCUGAGCUCCAUCUAUUAAUCACCACGACAUAUUCAGCCCGACAGCUCCUCCAGCCAUUCCCCAACCGAGUUUCAGCAUCAGUAACCAACUCAACUCAAUACAGCAUGCUAAAACAGCAUGGUCGCUGCUAUAGCCGCCAUUGCAACCACUUUGGUUUGCGCCUAUAACAAUAAACUCAUGCAAAUUAGUGUAAGUUAUAAGAAAACAGUAUUUGAGCUAAACUAAGUUGAAUCUUCAAGUAACUAUCGUUACCUGCAAGAACUUGGGGUUGGCGAAGUUGACGGCGUAAGCAAAGAGCUGAGGGAUCAUCCCAGAGGGAGAAUUUUCGGGCGGCUUUGGAGAUCUCAGCUGGGGACUGUCCGAGGAGACUCAAAAGUGGAGUGGCAGAAACGUAUAAAGGCAAAUUAAGAAGAAAGGAAAAAGUGUUAAGGAUGAUCCAAGAUUUUUGAAGAUAUAUCCCCAUCAUCUCUAGUUGCCCUGCUCCAUAUGCUUGCCCACAUAUCGUCGCCUCUCGCCAGUGUACUUCCCAAUGGGUAAUAUACGUAUAAGAAAUUUACGUAUUAAAGUGAGUAAUAUAUAUUUCUUUUAAGAAAAUCAGCAAUUGAUAUGACCACACAAACACAUGUUAAUUAAUCGGAGGGAUAUCGUUUUAAUGUGAAAUAAUGGAAACUUUUAUUUUUUACAAUCUCACUGAUGGAUGAAACGAAGAAGAAAUUGUUGAGUAUGAAAAUAAAAGGAAGAAUUAUUUAUUCAGCAAGGUCUGCCAAGAUCAAUGUUAGCAAGGCUUGCCAAAAAAAAUAAGCAAGCGAGCAUGAACAUUACACGCAGGACUACAGUAAAAACAGACAGAUAUUUUAUUGUAGCUUCCCUAGUCAGCCAAGUGUGUUUGGUUUCUUGUGUAAGACAGUUCUGGUUUAUUUUUUUUUUCUUUCUUAUAAUCUAUUGUAAUGAUACUUUUCAGAUCUAAGAAAAGAGGAGUUCUCUUUCUUCAUUUUCUCUUGACUCUCUCUCUCUCUCGUUCUCCCUUGUUCUCUUCAUUCUCUAUUUUUUUAAAUCAACCAUACUUUGUUACUUCAUUACUCUCACAUCAUAAUCUAUCAUUUCUAACACUCAUGGUGUUGUAACUAAGUCGCAUCUGAUUUGAUUUGAAUUUCGAUUUCUUAAUUCCUUUGGUGUAUUGUUUUGUAUUCAGUUUCAAGUUUUGUAUUAUAUUUCUAUCUGGUUCAUGUUUAAUCUCCAUAUAAUAUAUGUACUAGGUUAAAACCCGCACCUUGAUUGGGAUAAAUAUUAUAUAUAUAAAUAAGUUUUAUUUAAAAUUAAGUUGUCAAUGUUGGUUCAAAGUUUUUAUCAAAAAAAAAUUAUUCAAAGUAAAUUUCAAAAUUAAAAUAUUUAUGUAUUUUAUGCGGUAUAUAGUUUAAUUUAAAGUGAUAUAUAUAUAUAUAUAUAUAUUUUAAUCUUAAUAAUUAAUUAAUUUAGACUUUUAUUUAUAUGAUUUUGUAAUCAUUUGUAUUUUUUCAUAAAAAAUUUUAAACCAUGGAUCCCAAAAUUUGAAUGUGAGACUUUUAGCAAUAUUAGUAAUUCAUAGUCCGUCUUUUAUAAAAAUUCAAAAUAUAAAUAUACAGAAAAAAUUAAAUUUUUAUUAUAUGGUUAACGUGGUUAUUUAAUUUAUUUUAAUAGUUUAAAAUUAAACAAACAUGAUAGCAAAAAGACUAAUUUUUAUCAAAUAUUUAUUAUUCAAAAUCAUUAAUGCCAUAUAUAUUUUUGUUUCAUUAGACAAUUUCGUAAUUUUUAUUUAAGAAAAUAACAAAGAACAUUUAUAAUGAAUUUAUAGUUAGUUUAUUAAAAUCUUAUUAUAUAAUUAGAUAGACAAACAUAUUUAUCUAAUGAUUAUAAGAAUCAUCUUAGUAAUAACAUGUGACUACAAAAAAAAAAGUUGUAAUGUUUCUCAAUUAAUAUAUAGGGAAUAUUGAUAUUACUUAAUAAACAUACAUAAUUCUUAAAAUUAACAACAAGUUGAUGAAAUAAUUUUUUUUGUAAAUUUCAUGUUUUCUGGUGUGAUUUCCUAAGCUAACAAGGAGAAGAAUGGAUUGACAUAAACCGUGUGGUACUAGGAUUCUACAAAAAGACAUAUAAAUAAAUUGCUAGCGAUUGGCUUCUUGCAAUCUGGGAUAAACAAAGAGAUAGAGAAAAGCAAUAUCAAUACAAAAGAGCUAAGAGUUUUUGGUUAAAACCUCGUGAUCUCUAUUAUUAGCUAGGUUUGCUCGUGAGAAAAGAUCUUAAACAUGGCUAACAAAGCUGCAACUUGUCAAGAAAUUAAAGAAAAAGUUUGUGAAGACAGGAUUAGUGUUUUACCUGAUGCGUUACUUGUGCAAAUAUUGUUGCUUCUUCCGAUUAAAGAAGCAGUAGCCACAUCGAUUUUGUCAAAACCAUGGCGUUGCAUCUGGACGUUGAUGCCUAAACUCGUUUGCAAGGAUACCAAGCACACAAACAGCAAAAGCGUCUGGUGGUUUUUUGAACAGUCAUUGCAACUUCACAAGUCACCUAUACUAGAACAUCUAGAAGUUAAACUCGGUUCAAGAUGUCCAGCUGACGUAGAUGUCGGAAAACUGAUUUUAAAAGCUGUUGAACGCAACAUUCGAUUGCUAGACUUCAACCUAAAGUGGUCAGCAAAGCCUAUAAGCUUGCCUAAGACACUUUAUACUUGUAAAACGCUCAAGAAAUUGAUUCUCUCAAACAAGAUUCUCAUAGAGCUUCCUUUUGAAGCUUUCCUCCCCUCGCUUAUUAAACUGGAGCUUUUCAAUGUGGCGUAUAAAGACGAGGGUUCACUUAUUAGGCUUUUAUCAAGUUGUCCUGUUCUCAAAACUUUGAUUGUGGUCCGAGAGAAGAAUGACAAUGUGAUCAAGUUCAGUGUGAAAGUGCCUUCUUUAAAUAGUUUAGUUUAUAUUAAUAAUAAUGAUGACGAUGGAGUAUGUGGUUGUGGUUGUAGUAGUAGUAGUGGGUCUUUGAUUAUAGAUUCCCCACAGUUGAAGUAUCUUCGCGUCAAUGAUUUUUCUGAAGAUGGUUGCUCGAUAGAGAGUAUGAGUCCUAACCUUACCAUGGCCAGAGUAGACGUUGGUUCUCCCCCUAAUGAAAAUUUCUUGACAUAUCUUUCUUCUGUCAAGUUUCUCCAUAUGACUUGGAUCGAUGAAACGGUAAGUUUCCCUCUCUCAGUUUUGUGAUCACAUCGUUGCAUCUAAUUAUGUGAAACUGUUUACAGGAAGUAUUCUGUAGUUGCGUCAACUACUCUCAACUGAUAGAGUGUAUGCUACGUCCAUGUCGCGCGGAAUAUUGGGUAGAAUCAGUUAUGCUGUUGCUUGACAACUCUCCUAAUCUUAAAGUUCUUAUGAUCGACACUGUAAGUAUACUCCCUCAAGCAGGUUUUGAUUUUUAUUAUGCGUUUAUUAAAUUUAUACAUAGUAUUUUUUUUUUUUUUUUUUGUUGUUUCUCAGAAGGGCAUAGGUGAAUCCGAUGAUCUCCGUCGUUGGAGUUAUGUUCCAGAGUGCUUGUCGUCUCAACUCGAGAUUUUGGAAUGGAAAAAAUAUGGAGGGACGAGAGACGAGAAGCAGCUCUUGGAGUAUAUCCUUGCAAGCUCCAAGUGUUUGAAGAGAGCAGGAAUCUCCAUGAGGUAUAGCAAGGACUGCAAUGAUAAAAUGAAAAAGAAGUUGAGGAAAGAGUUAAAAUCCAUGCCUAGGGCUUCAGUAUCUUCUGAGCUUUUGUUUCCUGCUAAAUUUAAAUGGAGAUCAUCAGUGGCACAACAUUGUCUUUUUGACCUGUUUUAGUUUUACAUUGGUUGACUAGACAAGUGCUUGUGAAUUUUAGUUUUGGUUCGUUAUCUUUCUUUCUUUUUAAUUGAUUUUUGCAGUGACAUUUAGUCCGGUUUUCAACAAAAGUCUUUCUCUUCUUCAAUUCAGCUCAAGAAAAUAUUCCAUAUUCUUUUCUUCAAUUUAACUGCAUAAUCUCAAAUAUAUACCUUACCACAAAAAGAAAAGAUUUUAUAUCAGUUUGCAAAAAAUAUAUAUAUAUAUAUAUAUUUUAAGUAGAGGCAGAGAGAGUUUAUAUAGAUAGAGAAGAGAGUGUACUACAGAGAUUUAGCUUUUUAAAGAGUGUAGCAGAAACACAAUAGUUGUUCCAUCAUCAUCAUAACAAGAAGAAAGAAGUAAUCACAUUCUGGAAUAACCAAAACUAUUCUCAUACUGAGUCAUGAACUCGUCGUUGAACUUCUUGAAGCUGUCCAUGAUCUCUGGCAUCUCUUCUUCCGCAGGUAAGAUUGUUGUCCUCAGAUGGAACACACUGUCAAAAAAAUAAGAAUCGAGUUAUAAACAUCAAAAAUAAAUAAACGAAAAUUAAUUCUUAGUUGUUUGUUUGUACCCUUCUUUCUGUCCAAAUCCAGAGCCAGGCACUGUGGAGAUUCCUGUGGCUUCUAAGAGCUUUAGACAGUAGAAAACGUCUGGCACUUUUCCUGCUUGUUUAGCAGCUUGAAGAGCUCCCGGUGGUAACUUUAUUUGAGGAAACGAAUACAUUGCACCUUACAUAUAUUAUAUACACACAUGAAUCAACAACAAGAUGCAUUCAUGUCUUGAUGUUUAUGGUUCUUUGGUUAUUACCUUCCGUGAAAUUGCAAACAACGUUUUUGCAGCUGUUGAAUCCAUCAGUCAUGAUCUUUGCCCUUCUUCUCAAAGAUUCAAGAAUCCCCUUGCUACAAAAUGGGGGAUAUUAUCAAUGAUUCAAUCCAGGGAUGAUGCUUAAGUGGCUUUUAUGUAUAUAUAUACCUGUGGGAAAAAAAGAAAGAAGAAGAAGUAUAUAUACCUUUCACGGGCGAACUGGUCAUAUGAAAUGUCUCCAGGCUUUGGAGGACUAACCAUCAAACCCAUCUGCAUCAUUCAUACCACUCUCAAUACAAUUCAAAUGAUUUCUGCAAAUACAAAUCCACAUUAGUUUAAGUCUUUUUUGACUUACAAAGAUCUGUGCAGAGACAUUCGGGCUCAGGGCGAUUGAUGCAACCUUGUAUAUCUCUUCAACAACCUGCAUAAUCAAGAAACCAUAGUAAAUCAAUGAUCAUGUUAUGUUUUGACACCUAACAUAAUUAGCUUUAAAGCAGAGAGGUUUAAAGACAAAACCCUGGGAGGGAAGUUGGUCAUCUCAAAGUAUCCACCUCGCUGUCCACAUUCUCCCCAAUAACCUUUAGAAACAGUGUGGAAAGAUACAAGCUGGACUUCCUUGCUGAACGGCGAACCCAUAUCCAUCAGAACCUUUUUUUUUUUUAUAAACAAGAAUGUUCAAUGUUAAAUGAAUGAUCACAAGUUUCACUGAAACAUGAAAAGCAAAGAUAGAAGCUGACCUUCUUGGAGCUGAUAAAAGGACGCUCAUCCUGGUAUAUGUUCUGCUGAUAAACCUCAUCUCCCAGAAGAACCAACUUCUCGCUGUGACAGAACCGCAAGAUCUCUCUUAAGUUAGCUUCGCUUAGACACUGACCAGUUGGGUUCCCAGGGUUAAUGAUCACCAUUGCCCUUACCUGUAUACCCACAUUCAAGAAAAAUCAGUACCUGCAUUGAUAAUUGCAAGAGAAGAAGAAGAUUGCUUACUGAUAUUCCUUGAGAACGAGCCUGAGCAACGGAUUGGCGAAGGUUAUUAACAUCAAGCCCCCAGUUUUCAGACUCAUCGAGAUAGUAAGGAACAAGAGAACCGCCUAAGAGUGAUAUGGUAGCUGAGUAGAGUGGAUACUGUGGAACCGGAACUAGAAUCUGCAAAAAACGGGAUAAAUGAAAGAAGUGUCACGUCAGGAGUUAAAAUAUCAUAGCAGAUAACUAUAAGACUUUCUUGGAGGAAGAGAGAGCAUUUACCCCGUCUCUCUCACCGCGUAUAACACAGUUCAAGAUCUGCAUCACACCUUUACGGUGGCUCGAAUCUGCGACUCCUUAGAAACACCAAUUGAGUUGAUUGUUAGGUAUUGCACCAUCUUCUUAGCCACCUCUAUGUCCUUCACUAACGCCCAC